rnacentral:lncRNA from 1 species
AUCUAUCAAUAAAUAUGUAAAACCGCUUUAAGAAUGGAUAUUUCUACUUUUUUUAAUGUCACUCUUCUUUUUUUUUUAAAAAAAAUCCUUCUUCUACUUCUUAAAUCUCCAGCUGUGGAUUCAAAUUAUGAUCGGCUCCACACUUUUUCUCAAUAAGUAAGAAUGAAUAUUAGCUAGGAAUGAAAUAACAAUGUUGUUUUCUAAUAUCAUCUGUUUUUUUAGGAAGGAAAUCGAGCCAAUCAAUCUAGAAAGAGACCUAGAAAGACUAGCCUUAUCUUUUUUUUAGGGUGGAAUGACGCUUAGACGAAUCUCCUAUCAGAUUGCACACAUCUUCCCAAAGGUUAACAAUGGAUUUAGACUUUUCCUUAAAAAAUUUGUUGUUUCUCUCUAACCAAACUGUCCAAAACAGAGCAGCAACUGCAUUGACGCAUAUGACAUUUCUUCUUCUUGCUUGUUUCAACCUGCUUAAAGAUCUAUUUAGGAAAUUCAGGUUGUCUAUGUUUGUAGGUCCUCCAAUUUGUCCCAAAUCACUUUUGUAACCUUACAUUCUAUAAGAAGGUGGUUGAUAACUCUUUGUUGUUGGAGUAACAAAGCACACGUCUAUUUGGACUUAGACAUAAGGAAGAGCAUUUCUUUUUUAUGACAUCCAGCGUAUUGAUUUUUUUUGUGGAUUUGUCCAUAAGAAAAAUUUUACAUUUUUUUGGGACAGCCGAAGACCAUAGGAUUUCAAAGAUUUGUAGGUUUUUCUGAAAGGAGGGUUGGUGAUGAUCUUCUUGGAGGGCCUUUGGUGUAGUUGCUGGCUUGCAAUUGAUCAUACCAAAUUUUUUUAGAAGAUCCUUGGCAUACUUCUUUUGUGAGAUAAAUAUCCCACCAUCAAUUUGACAAACUUCUAAACCAAGAAAAAAAUGUAGCAAACCUAAAUUUGUCAUCUCAAUUUUGUUCUUCAUAUGUGAUUUGAAUUCAGCAACAAAGAGAUUUAGAGGAACUAGCAUAAAUGAAUAAAGUGUUUACCUUCUAAAGAAUCUUCUUUCCCACCUUGCAGUUCGAGGGUGAUCAAUCAUUGAGAAGGAUUGAGAAAGAUGGAACCUUCAUUUACAAUCUAGAGUAUAUUAAGAUAGCACAAUUUCACAAUUUUGACAAAAUACUGGAGCUGUACAAUUUCAUUUCUCAAAUGAGAUCUCCAGGGAAAAAAGAAGCAAAAAAGAAGUAACGUUCUUCCGGUAGACAGGGUCUUAAGCUUCCUCCUUAGUAACUGUCCGAUCAUUCAUCCACAAGUCAUUUUAGUAAGUAUUUUCAUAAGCUGGUUAAGAAGCUGAACAAAGAAUUUAGAGUAAGAAAAAUGAAGAUAAAGAAGCAUUUCAGGCAUAGCUCAAAAUAACCAUGCUUCAUAAAUAGCCUUAUUUUAAAAUAACACUUAUAUUUUCUUCUAUGGGAGCAUGUGGUUCCAAUUCAUGCAUAUUCCAUUACCAACCUCCAGAAGGCCAAUUAUACAAACACAGAUUCAAAAUAAAUAAAUUAAACAAAUAAGAAAUGCAAUCGCUGUGAAAGGACUGAAAGGUAGUAAAAAAAGUUUGUCUUCACAUUACAAGUUCAACUAUUUAAAUAAUUAUUGCGACCAUGUAUGGUAUACAACUUCUAAUUUAAAUAACCCACAUUUCCCACCUUGCAGUCCGCCGAAGGCUGUUAUAUCAAAGCCACAAGAGAACUUUCCCCUGGCAUCAGCUCAAAUGACAUACGUAGUUAGCUUUUACAUCUCCAACAUAUCUAAUAGAUCAUGUACGAAAAUCGUUUCACACUUUCAAUAAUUAAACACAACACAUAACUAAUUCAUGCCAACAAUCGUAGGGCAUUUAUGUCUCUCCACAAACCACUCUCAACUUACAUAUUUAAUAUUUUGUAGUCCGAUCAUCUCAAAACAUACACAUAAAAUAAUACUAUGAAAGGGUUACGCAUCGAAAAUGUAAAUGUUGUACUAACCUUCAUACGGUGAAGAAUCUUCCACUUACACUACAACAAAUUUAGUUCAACCAUUAAAACAACAAUCCUCGAAUAUUUAACAACAACAAUAUUAUGAAGUACCCAAGAAAGACAAGGAUAACCAUAAACGAAGUAUUUAACCAAGUCAAAAUACAAGAAUUGUAUGUCAAAUUUUAGCUUCUAUAUGACAUAUACUAUAAAAAAAUUUGUAGUUACAGCAAAUAUUUUAACCUUUCAAUAGGCUUAAAUAUCAUGAACAUUCACACACACAUAUAUAAGAAAAUAGAAAUAUUGACAUGGAAAUUUUUAUUAGACUUCAAAUUGGUAAUCAGAGCUCAUGUGGAUUAGAAAUAUAGUGAACCAACAUGUAAUAUGGCACCGAAGUUUGCAAACUUAAGAGGAAGGAAAACUAUCAUGGGUUCAAUUUCUACUUCAAAAUCUGCAAAAUCAAUUGAAGCUUCGCCAACAAAGCUAGAUUUUGAUUAUUCCUACACACAAACAAAAUGAGAAUUUUACAAGUUGCUCCACCAGAUGCCUAGUUACAAAUUGGAAAAUUUAAAUUUAAAUUUAAAGAACAAAUAAUUCAUUCACAAAAUACAAUGUUAUAGUUCAAGUACAAUGUUAGAUAAGAUAGAAAUUUAAUUUAAAAAAAUAUAUACAACGCUUUCAAGUGAAUUAAGCUACCAAAAUAUUUUGUUUCAUGGCUGUGAAUCACUGUUAUCUCAUAAAAAUGUUACCAUCCAUUUCAACUUAAAAACAUGUAUAGAUAUAUGACACAAUAGGGGCAUGGUGGCACAACAUUUCUAAGAAAUCUAAAGCAUGAGCUUCAAAGAAUUUAAAAAUCUUUAUGUAUAACUUGAAUAUUCCAUAAGGAAUACUUAAAACAUCAUAUAUGGAUAAAGCUUCAAAAUCAUAAUCCUUUAAUGCUAUCAACUGUUUAUCUUUUUCCUUUUUUCUUUAAAAGGUCAUAUGAGAAACAAGAAACCAAUUUAAAUAUAAUAUAACAAUUUUCCAACACUAUAAGAAAACAAGAGGUAGAAUAAGCAAUCUUGAAGAUGGAGCUUCAAAGUGGAAUUAAGAGAAGAAGCCAAAUGCUUACUUCUCCUUAAAUAUAAUAUAAUAAUCAAAACAAUAAACAAACCUUGAGCUUCAGCUCUGGGGUUCCAUGACUCAGGUUUAUAGAAUUCCUUUUUCCAUCUUGGUUUGAGAGAGUAGAGAUUCUCUCUAACUAUAAACUGAUUGUCCAAUUUUGUUCAUAAUAUACUAUUAUGUUAUGAUAAAUUUCAGCACACAUCCACCAAGCACUCAAAUUCAGUAACCGAAGGAAAAUAAAAGAUAUCCAAAAGCGUUAAAAGAGUAGUGCAAUUCCUAUAUUUAGUUGGAACAUGCAUAAAUUAUAUUUUAGCAAGAACUAGAACUUAAAAAUAAGCAUAUAAUGUCAUGAAGGCCCAAAAACUCCAAUUGUUAAUAUCACCAAAAUUUAGUUCCAAAUGCAAAAUAGGAUGUAGACUUAGCUACAGCUACAAUUACCUAACUUGCAAACCUUUAUGAAUUUUUACAUAGAAUUCAAUAGUAAUAUUAGGUUUUUGCUUCUCCAAAUGGACCAUAAAUUUUGAAAGAAAAAAACAAACAUAAACAAAAUGUGAUUAACAAGCAGUCAAACAAAUGAGUAACAAAAUUUCCAACGCACACUAAAUUAGUUCUCAUCACGUAUCAAUAAUUUUUUAAAAAUGAUUAACAAAUAAUGUUAUGAGAAUAAAAAAGAUAUAUAUAAAGAGCAAGAAUAUUUUGAACAUAGAAAAAGACUCCAUACCCUAGAAGCAAACGUUUUACUCAAGCAAAAAAAUGAUGAGAAUGACAUAUUUUGAAUAAGAAAACCAUACCUCUCAGCAUCAUUUCACUGAUAUAUGCUCCGUCCAAUUAAUCUCAAUUAACAAAUGAAAAUACACAUUAAUUUAAAUCUUUAGAAGAAUUUAAUCGGAAUGAUAUUGUAACUAAGUUGAAUAUAUAACUUAACAUUUAAGGUGAAUGAAGGUUUUUGCAUGAAUACAAAAAAAAUAUAAUCCCAACAAAUAUUGCAACUCUAUUAGAAUAAUAAACAACUUCGUUAAAACUUUGAACAAAAAAUUUUCAUACAUAGAUACAGGUUAAAAAAAGAAACUUCAUCAGUAAAAUUAUGGGCAUUUCAUUGAACAAUUGGUGGGCAACACAAAAGAAUAUUCAUUUACAUAGUGGCGGCCAUAAAACUAGAAAAAUUAAGGAAUAAGUACAAAAAUUUGUGAAGAACAUAUCUUAGAUGCAAUGUUGAGAAUUGAGUUUCAAGUUUAAUUGAAAAAAUCGGUAGGAGCAAGAACUCGAUUCUUCUUAAAUUUCGACCAUGGGAUUUUGUGUCCAGAAACCACUUUGCAAUUUUAGCAAAUAGCCCAAAAGUUUUACUCAAAUGCCAUAAAACUAUUUUUUCUAGGAUGACUUACUCAAAGAGAGUAAAGAUUAGAUCCAUAAAUACUUGAGAGACCGCCACAGAUGAUGAAGAUAGGAGAUGGCCGACGGUCUAAAGAGUGAGAGGGCAGUGAGUGAGAGAGGGCAAGACGACGAUGGACGGAGGAGGGUUUUGAUAUGAGUGAGACAGUUGUGAAGAAAUACACGCUGCAAAGAAGCAUAAGAUGGAGAAGCCUUCAUUGUGGGCAAAAUUGCACGGAGGAGCAUUCACCGCAGUAAGCACCUUGAGCUAUCACCGAGCACAGGAGCCUGGUGGAGAAGGGGAAUCGUAUGAAUAUGAGGGGAAGAAACAAAAAGAAGAAGGGUUUUUUUUUUUCGUGAAAUUGGAAGAAAAAAAAGGAAAAACUCUUUUUUAAAAAAAUUGAAAAAAGAAAAGUGGUUUUCACGUAAAUGCAAGGUUUCCCUCUUUUUUUUUUCAUUAUUUUUCUUUUAUUUUAAAAUAAAUAUUUUUUUUAUUAUUUAUAUUUCAGUUAAAAAAAACUGUCAUAAAUUCUCAAAAUCCAAAAGAUUUCCGUCUUUUCCCACAAAAAACACGGAUGUUAACAUUUAUGACAGUUUUUUCUUCCCUCAAUUUAAUUUGGAAUAUGACAGAGUAAGUCAUUUUUGUUGGAGUGAAUAAAGAGUAAUUACUUAUUUCACAUUUAGAUUGGCUUAACUCAAAUCUAAUAACUAAGAACCAAUUGGGUUGUUUAAGAAAUUAUUUUUAACAAUAUUUUGUAGUCUUAAUUUCAGUUUAUUAUUAAUGUUUUGCUCUGUGUCUAUUUUAAUUUUCUUUGAUUAUUACAUUAUUUUUAGCAUUAUUUAAUUUUUGUUUUAAACUAAUGAAUUUUAUUGAAAAUUUUACCAUGUUUCUAAUUUAUAGUGUUGUGUUUGGUAAGUACUGUAAAGUUACAUUAUUGUUGCUUAUCAUUCACAAUCAAUCAAGGCUACACAUUUCUUGAUCAUAAUUAAGCUUAAUUAAGCUUGGUGUCAGCGUUUGAUAACCCAGCAAUAACCUUGUAUGAAGAACCAUCAAGGAAUUUUAGGCAUGCUUAUUUUUAUACCUGAAUCGUAAAGUUUGUAACUUGAUGAUCUUUUUUUUUUUGUUGUUGUACAUCAUGAUUUAAUUAAACCCCUUUUAUUUGAUCACAUAUCAACGAAGUGUACUCUGUGAUGCUCUUGAUUUUGAAGUAACAAUGAUAUUUUUAUUUUUAUUCCUUUGUUUUGAGAAAGGAUCAGAAUCUCACAAACAUAUUGUGUAAUAUAAUCUACUCUCUUUUCAUUUAUUACAACAAUAUUGACCCCAGAUAAUAUUGAAUUGGAUUCACGUCUUAUAUUAGAUUCAACCGUAUAAAAAUUUAUUUGAAUGAAAUACCACCAUAUCUCUAUUGCCAUUCCAUACUACAAAACAGUUAUAUAAAUACCAAACAACUACUCUAGAUCAUGACACAAACAACCCAAAUAACUAUCAAUAUUAAAACUUAAAUUGGAUUUCGAGGUAGUUGCCCCAGGACAAAACGAUGCGGUUGCUCUAGAACCGAUGUGAGUGAGGCUGUUGGGAACCGAUCAAGAACGUCCUCGAGCUGUACGUGCCAGAGAUGGAAAGGUUUGCAGUGAUAGGAACAUACAAAGAUGCCAGUACAGAAGUAUCAAUGAAGUGUUUUUUUGUGGUGAGAGUGGGACAAUGUGCCAAGGCAAAGACUACAAGCUUGUUUGUUGAAGUGACAGAACAGGUGAUUGUAACUUGUUUGGUCUCCAAUGGUCUCAGCUUCUAUCAAGUCUUACUUAGCAAUAUCAUAUAUGUUUUGAAGAAGCCAUUAUGUAAAUCUUGGCAACUCAUAGCUUUUGAAGCUUGUAACUAGAGUUAAUUAUGGGGCUUCGGCUUACCCCUUGCAUGCCUCCUCUUGUUGUUUCAUGAGGGAUAACGGCCAAGGUUUCAGAUGCUUAUGACAUUACGAUCAUUGUGGUUAAAAUCUUUUAGCCAUUCAUUGGCGCCUUCCAAAACUUUUCUUUCGAGUAUGGUGAAAUAAUCCACAAACAAAAAUCAUGAAAUAGUUCGAGUAUCCACCAUAAAAUGAUAUAACCUAUUUGUCUCUUAUAUAUCUAUCAAUAAAUACGUAAACUCUCUUUAACAACACAAUAGGAGAAUACAUUUUAGUUUACACUACAUUUUUACUUUUUUUAAUGUCGCCUUUUUUUUCUUUUUUCUUUUAUUUUUCUUCUACUUCUUAAAUCUACCAUUGUCGAUUCGAAAUAUUAUCACUCUUGUAGUUUAAAUAUACAUAGCCCUCUAGACAUUUAUCAUCAAAAGUAUUGAAUGGUUCCUUCUACCGAUUAAAUGGAAAAUCAAGAGUGGUGAUACCCUAUCUUUUUGACAAAGUCUUUGGCAUGAACACAAUCCUCUUUCUUUACACAAUCCAAGGCUUUAUGCUCUCACUAGCAGAAGAUGGGACUCAAUAAAAAAUACGUGGAAUGCUGAAAAUUCGGAAGGAAACCUUUUUUCUAGAAGAUCGUUGAGAAGUCUUGAGACACAUCUCUCGAAUGAAAUGAAAAUCACCCUCAACUCCCCCAUGCUUGAAAAUAUCCCGGACUUCCCCAUUUGGAGCUUGAAUGCUAAUGAUAGCUUAAUAAUUGCCUCCAUUAAAUAGACUUUACGUAACAGUAAUCAAGCUGAUCUAAACAACUCAAAUUAGCAGAUUUAUCAAAAUCUUUGGAAGUCGAUCAUCCCAAAAUAAUGAAAAUUCUUUAUCUGGUCCCUCCAUGAAUGUAUCAACACAACUGGAAUUUUACAAAGGAGACUAUCAUUGUGGAGCUUGAAACCAUUGCUAUUUAUUGUUAGAGUUAGAUAAUGAUAUUUCUUUUUAUUUUUUGUUAAGUGAUUGAUGUGUGGAGAAAAUAUUGCAACAACACAUAUAUGUGGGAUUAGUUUGGUAUUGCUACAAUUUGAACAUCUUUUUUUUAUCAUAUCAAAAUUUGGGGAUUAUAUAUAUAUGAAGUCAUUUUGUUUGAAUUAAGAAUUUACUUUUUCUAAUAGUUAAGGAUUUGUUGGAACUUAUAAGGGUUAUGAUUAUUUCAAACCUUGAAUGAAUAUAAUGCCUUUCUUUUUCUUGUAUGUUAUAAUUUUGAAUAUUUUAGUUAUAAUUAUGAAGGUAGAUUUUGAUGAUGUGACUUAUACCUUUCUACUGUGGGGAAUUGAGCUGUAAAUAUCUAUAUGAUUAUAAUUUGAUUUUUCAAUAAUAAUAUUGGAUAGUUGCUAUUAGAUCAAUUAUAGUUAUAUGUUUGUAUUAUUACAAAAAAAAAAAUGCUAUAGAGGUCCAUCAACAAUAAAGUUUGUGUGUAAGAAUUGGGUCUUUACAAUUUGUUUUCAUUACGAUGAAUUAUGCUAAUAAAAAUAAGAAUCUUUUAAUAACUUAUCUAGUUUUUUAUAACGCCUUUUUAUUAUUAUAAUAAAUUUGUAGGGUACUUUUUUAAGACCAUGAAACGUUUCCAUAACAGUGAAUUAAAGCUAUAAUAUAUCAACUUUUUAUAUUGUUAUUAAUAACUCUACGAAUACCGCUAUUAAAGUCUUUAUAAAACGCUUCAAAAAAAUUGUUUAUAGCAUUUUUUUCUAUGUUAUUAAAAUAGCUAUUGGAUGAUUUUGAUAAUGUUUUUCGAACGCAAUAAAAAAGCGCUACAAAAAGGCUUUUAUAGCGUUUUUUCGAUGUUAUUAAAAACGCUAUUGAAACAUUUUUAUAACACUUUUCAAAUGCAAUAAAAAAUGCUCUCUGAUUUUCAGUAGCGUUUUUUUAAUGUUAUUAAAAUAGCGUUUGAAACGUUUUGAUAACACUUUUUGAACGUUAUAGACAAUGCUAUGAAAUGUCUUUUAUAGCAUCUUUCCAUUGUUAUUGAAAACACUAUUAAAAUAUUUUGAUAGCGACUUUUCAAUGCAAUAAUAAACGUUAUCAAAAUGUUUCAAUAAUGUUUUUUUUUUCACGUUAUAAAAAUCAUUAAUAACAUCAUAUGUGUGCUAUCACUGGGACAUAUUAUAGCGUUGUGCAUAGCGUUGUAAAAAACUCUAUGAAAAGUCAUGGACUUUCAAUAACAUCAGCUACGACAACAUUUAAAAAAUGCUAUCGAAAAUCAACGAUAAUGUUUUUUUUAUGCUAUCAUUGCUGAUAUUUCUUGAAGCGAGAGGGAAAAACGUCAGAAAAGGGAGGGAGAAGAAAAAGUGAAAUUAGGUUUUUUUUUCAAAAAAUUUAUGGCCAUGUUAUUUGUGUCGCCACAUGUAUAACUUUUGCAUCCCCAUAAAGAUGUAUAAUAAAUGUAGGAUUUCUCGCCACGUAAAUUACGUCAGCAAAUGUUUCAAAUAUCUGCCUACACAAAAUAUGUGGCCAUAAACUAAAAUAAACGACGUCAGAAAUAUAAAUUAAAAUUUUUCUUUCCACCACAUAAAUUUUUGCCCACGUAUAUAAUUUCAUCAGCAAAAACAAUAAUGUUCCCACGCAAUACAUAAUUUUUUGUCCACGUAUAUAUUUUUGUUGGCAAAAAUGAAGAUGUGCCAAUACAAUGAAUUCACAUCGGCAUAUCAUGAAUGAGAUAUACUGUUGGUUAUCGGAUGUGUGUAACUAACAAUUUCUUUUUUCUAAUAAAGCAUUGAUUUUGGCCUAAUGAUUCUAACUUAUCCUUUUUUUUUAAUUAGAUUGAAAAGAACAUUCAAUUCAAGAGGCUAAUUUGACUGUGUUAGUAAAAGUAUGGAUUUGAGGUUUAAAAAGAGAACAAAAAGGAGUCCGUGAACCGAAUAUUGCAAAUACUUUUGUAAUUCAAGAAUAAAAAAGGUAUUCUAAAUUUAUUUAUGUAUGUAUGUUAACUGUUUUCUUUGAAUAAUAAAAGUGGACAUGAACUCCUUUUUUAAAUUACAUCUUAUGUUUGGAUCCCUAAUUUUCUUAUAUACAAAUUUGAUCUGUCACACACUUAAAAGAAGUUGCAGAUUAAAAAAUAUAUAUAUAUAUACAAACGAGUCGUGAUCACACACAAUUAAUUAGGGCUCAAUUCAAUUUUAUGGAGCAAGCUUUUCAAUUAAUUUUGUAUGGAGGAAACUUUCAAGAAGAUGGUGAUUUUGAAAUUUAAAAAUUCUCUCAUAUCUAAAAAAAGGUAUUUAAAAAGAAAACAAUGGUUAUUCUCUAGCUUGUUUAUAUUGUACUAGUGGAAAAUUUUUGUUAUUCUCUCGUGAAGAUUUCAUAAUUUUUGAAAUCAACCACCCUCGAAGAUUGAAGCUCUUGGAAGAUAUAGUCAUUCUUUCAAGAUUUCAACUUCAAUAACAUUAUGUGUUUCGCUUUCUUCAAAUCAACCGUAGACGUUCAAUCAAGAGAGAAUCAUAAGAUUAAAUUCUAGAGAUCAAACCGUAUCUCAUCAAAUUACAAAUACAAUGACAUUAACUCAUGUUCAACUCCACGAAUCAAAUUUCUCCGAAAAUCUCGUUCAAACAACCAAUUAUAGAAAAUGAACUAAAAUAGUAUGGACAAAUUGUAGGAGAAUUUUCAAAUAUAACAAAAUAAACUAAAAUAUUUACAAAACUCUAUCAUAGUAGAAAUUGAUACAAGCUUACUAUAUCUAUCCGUACUUAUCUCAUUAAUAAAAUCUAAAAUUUUACUACACUUGGUAAAUAUUUUUAGCAUUGUCAUUUACAAUAACUUUUCUAAACUAUAUAGUUUUCUAAUCAAAUAUAAAUAAAAAUAAAAAUAAGUUAAUUUCAAAAAUAAAAAAUAUUGAAACUAUUUAUAAAAUAUAUCAACAAAAAAACUUAAAAGAAAUACAGAGAUGGAUGAAUAUAUUUUGUAAAUAGUUUUUUUCUUUCUAUUCAUAACAAUUAUCCGUUAGAAAAUAUAUCGGCAAGUUGUUUGAUAAAUGAAUUAUUUUUAUUGCCCAAAAGAAAGAGACCUCUGAAUAUGUGUUAAAAGAAUAAAAAGAAAGUGUAAAAUGUACAGAAACACACCCAACAAAAAGUGAGAAAAGAAAAUAAAAAAAAGAAGUUAUUUCUUACUAGAAUAAUAAAAUAAAACAAAAUAUUCAUUCUUUACUGACAAAAUUUUACUCAACCAAUCAAUUUAGGUCGUGUUUGGUUGAGAUUCUAAAAAUUCUAAAAUAUUUUGUUCUUAAUUCAAUCCAAACGAGUAAAUAUUUGGUAACUUUACCAUCUACUUAUUAAUAUGUAAUUAAAUAUAUAGAAGUUGAGAAGUUGAGGAGAGAUAAUUAAAUUUUUAUAAAGAUUAGUAACAACACCUGCUAUGCUGUCAAAUGUCAACAUUUUAUUAAAAAUUUAAAACAAUUUUUUCAAAUAAAAAUUAUAAUAUUUUUUUUUUAAGGUUUAUAAUCCACUUUUAUUUUUAUAGAAUUGUUUAGAGUUAAAAAGAAAUUGUGCUAAUGAAAGAAAAGUUCGUUGGAAGUAUCUGUGUAUGAUUUUUACCUAUUGCUAAUAAUUUUUUUUAUACUAAUAAUCAUAAGUUAUUAAUUAUCAUUUUUUUUAAAAAAAGACAACCCAUGGUUAUGAAAUACAAUAAAAACAAAUCUUAGAUUCACCCGCUCAUCUUGCUUGUACGUGAUUUGAUGAUCCAAUAGUGUGGCGUUGAACAUUUUCAUAUUUUUAUAUCAUUGUUCAUCAUCGUAGACUUGAGAGAAUGAUAUUUUUCAGUUAGCAUAGUAAAAUUUAUAUAACGAAUGAAAUUUGUAGAAUGAGAAGAGACCUUAGAUUUUUUUUAAAAAAAAAUAUUUAUUAUCGACUUUAGAUCUUAAAAAAAAUUAUUUAUUAUCAGUAUGAAGUAUCUCAUUAAUAUAGUUAGUGAUGGUUUGGUGACAAAAAAAAAUAAUCAGUGAAAAUAAAUUUUAAAAAUAAUGAAUGAAAGUGUAGGAAGCUAAAAGAAUUUUGAAAUUUAAAGGAAUAAAGCGUAAUUAAUAUUUAAUUAAUGUAUUUAAAUUUUAAUUAUUAAUUAACUUAACAACUCAGAUCACUUCACAAAUUUCUUAUAAAUUUUUAUUUGUUAAUUAACUUAACAACUCAUAUGUCUUUACAAAUUUCUCAUGAAUUUUUAAAACGGACAAAAUUACUAUUAACGUUAUACUUAGAAGUACUUAAAUGAAAGUAGCAAAAUGGGGAGAGAAAAUUUCUCCCCAUAGAUCUUUUUAUAUAUAGUAUAGAUGAUCUACUAACGUUUUUAUGAUCAACGAUUCGUCUUUCAUAAAGAUAUAAAAUCUAACAUUUUGUUAAUUAUGUCUAUUACUACCCUAUUAAGGGUGUGAACAUUUCUCAAUUGUACACACAUUUCUAUAACUUAACUUAGUUAUUGUAUUAGAAAGGGUCAUGUUUAUGGUUGCGGAAUGCCCAUUUUUAGUGUGAUCUUUAAUUUUAACUUAUAUGAUAUAUUUAUUUUUUAUCCUAAUAAAAUUUAAUCAAUUAAGUUGUAGUUAUGUAUGGGUUUUCAAUCUGCAACUUCAAAUUAAUUAUGUCACGUCAAACAUCUAAUUAAAUUAGACGUAAGAGGGAUCAACAUUCCAAGUCAAAAGAAAGAAUGCAUUUAAUAACAUUUGCCAUUUAAAAUUACAAAAGAAAUAAAAAAAAACCUUUAGCUUGAAUAAAAGUUUGCUUAAACAUUUAUUUAAGAAUAAAAAAACUUUUCCAUUUGGCUAAUUUUUUAAAUCUUGGGUAAAUUUUGUUAUUAAGAGAUAUAUAUCAACCUUAAACUUAAUGGUCAUUUUCAUUACUUGUGUGUAGAGUUAAUAGCCACAAAUUUAACCUUUUUUUAGUUAAUAUAUUUUUCAUAUAGAGAGAACCAGCAGUCACCACAUACAUUUUUCAGUUUUUCUUACCAUAUUAUUCCAUCACUGGGCAUGAAAACCUAAUUGUGAAAAAGCUAUGAAACCUGAAAGAAAUAAAGUGUAUAUGUGUUUUGAUUUGGAAGGGGGAGCAGUUAUACAUUAAACUUAAACAUUAAAAGUUGAAAUCACAAUAAUCAUUCUUUUUAAAUAUCAUGCAUUAUAACACAUUAACACAAAAUUUUCUCUCACAAAGAGAAAUUAGAAGAACAGAAACAAAUAGAAAGUGAUCAUAUGAUAAUCAUAUAUAUAGUUAGUUUUUUAGAAAACAAAAGCUUACCACACUCAACUAAAAUUUAUAUGGCUUAAGAGCUAAGAUGAAAGUGCUAAAAAAUUGUCUAUUAAUGGACAUGUGUUUGGGUACACACCUCUGGGUGACGGGGUCCAUCCUAUCAUUUUUCAAAAACUUUUACUACUAAAGUUUAGAUACCGAAAUGGUUUUAACUACUCUAUAUAAUAAUUUAAAAGUAAUCAUAAGUUUAUUUUAUAAAAUAAUAAUAAUAAUAAUAAUAAUAAUAUAUAAGCAUUAAAUUCUUAAAAAUUGACAAGGGAUGUAUUGUCUCCAAUAUGUGUAAUAACACCCCCUACAACUUUAAGAAUGACAUUCCAAUGUCAUAUAUUGUAUAUAUACUUAAGAUGAACAUAAAAUUAAACUUUAAUUUCAGAAAUAUAAAAUUAUAUUUGUAUAAGUGAAAAUUCGAAGAACCACUUCUGUUUGUCUAACAUUUCUAACCUAAACUCAAUAGUUUCAUUUUAUACAUGGAUGAUUAUCACAUUCAUUCAAAUAGAUGCAUUUUUAUUAUCUUAACAUCUUUCAUCGAACACUCAUAUUUGAAGUGUAGAUAAAAUAGACAUUUAAAUAAAAAUGUAACAACAAAGGAGAAAAAUAUAUAAUCUAUUUACUAUACUUUAAAAGAACUAAUAUAAUCUACAUAUUAUUAAUUAUAUAAAUGAUCUUUUUGUCUCUGUUAUAAAAAAUAAAAAAAGGUGUGUGUAUUCUAUUAUUAUUCUGCAGACAUUUAAAUAUAAUAUUCUAUAGACUUUUAGUAAAAAAGGUGAGUGUAUUCUAUUACUCUCAAAUAAAUAAGUGAAUCAGAUUCAAAAUUAUCGAUUAAACAAAAAGAAAACUAUAUUUUAAAAGUAUAAUAGUAAGUAUUUGGAGGGAGAGAGGUAAGUGACGGAGUGUAUAUAAAGAGGAGUGAAGAGUUAGCAGAGAUCAUAGAAGUUUGUGAGAGAAUUAGAAUUAUAGAUAUCUAAUAUAUAUAUCAUAUCAAAUUAGCUUAUAAUUUGAAAGAUGACUCUUGGAAUCGGGAUUGGUGGUGGCAUUCAAAUUGGAGCUCCUUCAGUGGACAAAUCGGUUACAGACGUACUUCUUCCUCUUGUGAUUAACCAUUGUCUGACUGUACUUCAGAUUGAGGCCGAACUUGAUGGUAUUAUAAGUUGUGAUGUUGAGGGUGGGCUAGCUGGCAAAACAUAUAUCCUUCAGUUGAGGCUAAAGUGCAGGGUUGGUAAUAUUUUUGUUAUUAAAAUCGUUCUGGUUAAAAUCUUCUGGGCAUUGAAUGCCAUUCCACUGGUUGUGUCUUUCGAGUAUCUGGAAGAAAUCAACAUCUAGAAACCGUGAAAUCAUGCUAUGUAUAAUAAAAAUGGUGCUUUCUUAUGCAUCAUUUCCAUCUCUCUCACCUAUCUAUCAAUAAAUAUAUAAAACUGGUCUCUCUUUUAACAAUGCAAUAGGAGGAUAUUCAGUUUAUAUUAUAUUUCUACUUCUUUUAAUGUUGCUUUUACUUUUUUUAAUCUUUCUUUUACUUCUUAAAUCUUUCCUGGUGGGUUUGAAAUACUAUUACUCGACACUUUUUCUAACAGAAAUCUGUGAGAACGACGAAAUAAGAUAGUACAGUUUGCAAAAUAACAAAUUUAAAAAAUAAUUUGAUUUUUAGCAAAAUUGUAAAAGAUAUAUAUUCUUUUAGAAUUCUUCAACCAAUUUUACCUCUUGAUAGGAUGAAUGUCAUUUUAAUAAUUACAAUGUAUUUAUAAACCGUAAAACAAUAAAACGUAACACAUAAUUACACUAUGUAUUUGGAUAUCAUUCAAUUUUAUAAUAAUAUUAAAUAAAUAUUUAUUUUAUCUAUUGAUCUCAUUUAACUAAAUUCUAGAUUCAUGGUUUAAAUUUAUAAUCGAUUAUCAUGUUGCUUAAUCGUAGGUUUAGUUGGAAGAUUCAAAAUUUUGAAUUUAAAAUAAUAUAUUUUACCUAAAAUUAUGCAUUUUAUAUAAUAACAUUUUUGGAUCAUUUAUAUUCCAAACUAUUUAUAAAGUUAUUGAAUUUAAAUUUUUUAUUUAAAUACCUCCAAAAAUACGUAUCGCUUAUAACAAAUAGUUUUUUAAAUUUUAUUUUCCUCGUGCUAAUUGGUUUAUUUUUAUUUUUUAAAAAUUGUUUUAUUGUGCCAAUGGUAGGAAUAAAUAUUGUGAGACGUGUUUUUAAAUUACGUUAAUAUCUACGUUUAUUUUCAUCUAGUAAGAGUCUCAAAUAUCAUAAUUGUGAACCACAAUCUUUAAAAUCUUAUAGUCAUCUAUUAUACAAACAUAUUCCAAUCAACAGAUUUUGGACACACAAAAAAGAUAAAAAAUUUGGUUAUCAAGAUGUAGUAUCAUUACCCAUCUUGAUUUCACAUAUUCCAAAUACAAUUUAUUUCAAUAAGUCAAAAAACGGGACAUGAUAUUGAAAAUAGCACAAAUUCACACUAUUUUAUAAAUAACAUUCAAAUUUGGUAAAUCUUAACUAAACAUGUUAUUUUGUACAAUAAUUUAUUAAAUAAUACAUAAUAUAGUGUUAAUAACAAUUUGAAGUUAAAUUUUAGAUCCUUCCCUAAAAUUAUGUCAAAUAUAAAUACAAGAAUUUCACUUUUUUUUUUAUAUAUUUUUAGUCGAUUUUACUUGUAUACAGAAAAAUUCUUAUCAGAUAGAUAUAGUGUACUUGUGUAGGUUAAAAUGAAGGAAUAUGAUGGAAUAUAACCCAGAAUCACGAAUACAUUCUAUUUGCAAAUCAUUCAGUUGUGUAAAAUAUUAAAUAAAUAUUUAUUUUCGAAAUGAAUUUGAUUGAAUCAACAUCCCCUACACUUCAGCCUACAAUUUAUUGCAGAUUUUCUUGUUUGUAAGUUUCAAAUCAAGUAAUUAACAAUUUAUUUAGUUGUGGUUGUUAAAAUUAAAAUUGUAUCUUACUCAUAUAAUUAUGAUGCAUUUAAUGUAUAUAAGAUUAUUCUAAGAAAAAUAUAAUCUUCCCCUAUAAUCGUGGUACUUGAUUGAUUUCCUAAAAUAAUGUCAAACAUAACUUCAAAAUUUUAAGAUUAUAUUGUUAAUAUCCUUUAUCUAUUUUUCAUAAUUGUUAUUUAAAAAUAGAUUUUAAAUUUUGAUUUGAAACCGCCAAAAUAUUAAAAUUGAUUUAAAAAUUUAUAAAAGUAGUUAUGGUUAAUAAUAAUUUGAAUUCAAAAUUUUAGCAUCCCUAAAAUCAUGUUAAGAUUAUCAUUAUAUCUCCGAAAUAAUAGCAAACAUAAAUUUAACAUUUUCGAAUUAUUUAUAUUCUAAAAUAUUUAUAAAAAUAUGAAUAUUUUAUUUUUGGAAGGAAUUAAUUGAGAAUAAAAUAUUUAUUUUAUUUAAAUUGGAAAAGACAAAAAAGGAAAAGGAAGAUAUUUAAGUGAAAUAAUAAUAUAAUAAUAUUAUUAUUACUAUUCAUCAUCAUCUUCUUCACUCUCACCAAACCCUAGUCGCCGCCGACACCUCCAUCUUCGUUCAAGUGUUCUUCGUCCAAUCGAGAUCUCCACCUUUGUAGCCAUCUCCUCCAUUAUGUUGAUCGAGAACUAAGUCGCAAGGAAACAUCUCCUCCACUGCACGCCGCUAGUCGCAUGUUUACUUCAUCCGAAGCCUAGUGCCUUUGCGCCGCUUGUUCCUUUGUGUGUCGCACACCCAGCCGUGUCGGUCUCCUUCAUAUGCAUUCAUUCACUGAUUAUGUCAAAACUUCCAGCCACCAUCAGUCGUCGAAUUUUAGUGACUUUGUUGUUGUGGUUUUGUGACAUACAUUGUAUCUUUUCUAAAAAUCAAGUGGAUAUAUUGUUGUUGUAAUUUAAACGAGCGAAGAAGAAAAUCCGUUGUAGAAGCUCACCUUUGCGCGAAACGAAAAAGAAUAUAUAUAUAAUCGGUUUGAUGAAGAAGAUGGUUGACAAGAAGAAAAUUCUUUGAUUUGCACUGAAUGUAUGAAGACUUUAAAAGUUUCGAGGAGAACGAAGCUUGAAGCUCCAAUCUUUUCUGCAAAUGAUCGAAAACUUUGAAAAUAUGGUGGAAUCUACGAAAGUGGAAGAUAGUGAAGUUGGAUUCUUUUCGGUUUUGAAUAUCUAAACAUGCACAAUUUCAACAAGGAUGUAUUAUUUAAUUACAGAGUAUUUGGGUUUUAGGUGAACAAUUGUAUUUAGAACUGUUUUUUGAAUUGAGUAGGAGCAUUUGAGACAUUGUUCCAUUUAUUUAUUUUUUAGAUUUUUCAGUUUUGCUAUUCUAACCGUUUAAAAAUAAAUUUUCUAUUUUUUGUAGAACCCAAUAAUGAAGGCUCAAUAAUUAAAUAAUAAAUAUUAACUAGGAUGAAACAACAAUGUUAUUUCUAAUAUAUCUAUAUAUAUUACUAUAUAAAAGAGGUUAUAGAGAGAAACUUUUCCCUCCAUUAGUAAUUAUAACUAUAACAUCAAUGAUAUUAAUUUUGUCAAUUUUAAAAUUAAAUUAAUUGUAAAGCCACAUGGCUGGUUAAAUUAAUUUAACAAUUAAUAUCUAAAUAUUAAUUACAUUUAAAACAAAUUACCACUAAAUAGAUUAAUCACAUAUUAAUUACACUUUAUUCUUUUUAAUUCAAAAAAUCUUUUAGCUUCCGAGAUUUUCUUUCAUUCUUUUAGUAAAAAUUUUUUUAUCGUUAUAACACCAUCCACUAACUACAUUAGUGGAACACUUGUAAAAAUGACAAAAUAAGUUAUAAUAAUUAAAUUCAUAGCAUAUACAUUUUAUUAUUUACAAAAGUGACAAAAACGAAAUCCAGUCCACACAUCAAGAGGUAAAAUGUCACAAAUACCCUCGUUACUAGUUUACAUUUGAUACACUUUAUACGCGUCUGAUGCACCUAAUACAUGCCUAAUACACCUAAUACACCUAAUACACCUCUUGAUACAGUUGAUGCAUCUGAUACUCUUUGAUACAACUCGAUACUGAAACAUACUAAUAUAUGUUUGAUACACCUGAUACAUUGCAUGUACAUUUAGUAUUUUUUACUUAUACAAUUGAUUGAUAUUUAAAUGCACUUGAUAUGCUUGAAGUCCUACUUAUACACUCAAUAUACUAUUGAUAUACGCUUGUAAACUCGAUUCAUAUAUUUGAUAAUGAUUCACUUUACUGAUAUGCUUCUAUUUGCUAAGUAGUGAACAAACGAUUUUUGUCAUGGCGAUGCAAAUUAAUUGCUACUCAUAGCAAUUACAUUUUAACUACUUAUAGUUGUUUGAUUUGGAAAUUUUCUUUACACUUGUUUUAUCACGUGAAGAUGAAGGAGGUGAUUAUAGUAUUAAUUGUAUUUCAUAAUUAUAGGUUGUCUUAAAAAAUAUAUAUAAAAAAUUAAUAAUUUAUAGUUAUCAGUAUUAAAAAGAUUAUUAGCACUAUGUAGAAAAAAUACACACAUACUUCCAACCAACUUUUUUUCUAUCUAAAAAUUUAUUGUUCUGAUAAUUUACUUUACAUUUUAUCUGUACUAUGUAUCAAAUAUUACAUUUGUACAAUGUAUGAAAAUAUUUUAUGAAAAAUAUAUUUUAAUAAGAACAUAAAAAGUAUAAUAAUUCGUAUUUGAAAAUAUAUCAUUAAAAAGGUUUGAUAUAGUAUGUGUAUUGCAAUACUUAAUAUGUCUAUUAAAUAAAUAAUUUAUUAGCAUAAUUGCUGGUAUUUUUUUUUUAACUCUAAACAACUCUAUAAAAAUAAAAGUAGUUAUAAAUAUGAAAAGAAAUAAUUAUUAUAUAUAUAUAUUUUAAAAAGUAUAACAUUUGACAUGGAUAGCACGUGUUGUUAGUAGUAUUAACUUAAUUAAACCUACAUAUAUGACUCGUUAUACUAAAAAAACAUCGAGUCUCUUUGGGACCCAUACGACCAAUUUCCUAUGGAACAUUUUUCCUUGAAUUGAUAAGUUUACAAAAUAUAGAAAAUUGAUAGACACCAAUAGAAGUUCUAUCAAUGUCUAUGGGAUAUUAUUAUUAAUUUGGAGAAAAUCAAAUAUGAAACCAACAUAGUAAUUGCCUAUAAAGCAAAAAAGUAUCUAGAAAAAAGGAAAAUAGAAAAGAAAAGAAUCAAUUAAAGGUAACUCCUUAUCUUAAUCAUGCACUAGUCAACUGGAAAUUAACGAUCCAAAAUAUGUGUCAAACAUAUAUUUCGUGUCCUUGAAAGUCUAUGUCAAGAUAUGUCAUUUAAGGCUUUGGUUAAAUUUGGGUAGACUAUCACCAAAACUAUUUACAUGUCACAUGCUUCAAUAUAGAAACCAAAGAUAGCUUAUCACCAAAACUAUUUACAAGUUUCUUGAACUAGAAAAAAAUCUCACUAAAACCACAAACCAGUUAAGAAAAAACCAUAAACAAACUAAGCUUAGGAUAGUCAUAUCAUUCUAAUACUAAAUUUAAUCCAAUACUUUAGAACAAACUAGAAAUUUAGAUAAACAUUUUAUAUAUAAGUAAUACCUUGUAUUUGCUAUUAAUGUUGUUAUAAAGUCAAUUUUGUGUUAGAUGCAUCUUCUCCCCCUGUCAACCUUCUUAAACUUAGCCAAAAUAUGUGCAAUGCAAUCUUCUUAUUUUCUUUCCAACUCUGGGAAUCAAAAUUUAACGUUACACAUCAAACUUGAACCUAACAAAAAAACCCAUGGAACAAAAUAAAAAUCGUCUGCUUAAAAAUAAUAUGAUCCAAAAUAAAGUCUAAUAAUAGUUCUACUACUGAAUUUUAGGCAACAAAAAAUUGAAGUUUAUAACAAUAAGAUGCAAAUAAUUCAACAUAGGCCUCUUUUUUUAACGUUAUAACAAUUUUUUGCCUCUUUUUGAGUGUUUCACGUUUUUUCUUUUUUUUUUUUUUUAAAAUAUACCAUGGGUCCAUAGGUGCAUCGAGACUUUUUGAGUGUUUCACGUUGACACCUAACUUCAAGGAAUUAGGGUCUGGAGAAAGGAGAAGGGGGAGCAAUGGAGAGACGAAGAGAGGAAAAUUUUGGCAAUGGAGAAAUGGAGAAGGGGAAGGAACUAAGAUGAAGAUAUCACUUUAUUAAAAUAUGGCAGGGUGAAGGAACACCCUUAUGGCUGUACCGUUUAAAUCCAUCUCCCUUAAAGACUUCAUGUUUUCAUCAAAUUCUGGAAGUUGUUCAAGCUUGUAACAAUUAGUGAAACUUGAAGAAUCAAGAGACUUCAACUUCAAGCUGCUACGAAGCCUUUCUAGGUUAUAGCAUAAAUCAAGUUGUAAGGUGAUAAGUUUAUCAAAAGACCCAAUAAACUCAUGAAUUCUUCUUAAAGAGAAGUAUUUUGAGAUCCAAUAUCUCAAGGUUUGAUGCCAUUGAAAAGUCAAUAAUUUCUUCAAGAUUUAGACAAUUCCGUAGAUUCAGAACUUUAAGAGAUUUGAACUUUAGUUGGCUUGGAAACUUUCUAAAACAGUUGUCAAAAGAAAUUUCAAGCUUUAGGCACGAAGCGAGAUUCAAAAGUUCAAGAGACUAACUUGUUGGUGUAAAUUGGUAGCCUUUCAAGGUUUUUCAACCUUCAAUAUCGAAGAUAAUAAGCUUAUCAAGAGAACGACCAAUAGAGUCCUGUAUUAUUCUCAAACGGUCGCAUUUCCUGAAAUAUAUAUAGUGCCUUAAGGUUUGAUGAUGCAGACAAAUCAGAAAUUUCUUUAAAAAGAGUACAAGAUAUAGUGACUAUCCUCUCAUGCACAAAAACAACUAGCAAAAAUAUGCAGGAAACCUGAUCUGGAUAUGCAACACUGUUUCCAGGAUCAGAAAACUCUGCGCGACAAGUUCAUCUGCAACCGGAAAAGUACACAUUUCACAAAUUGAGAAUGGUGUAAGAGAGAACACAAGAUUGAAAAGUAAUGGCAAACAUUUUGAUGCACCAGUGCAUCACUGGGAAUGGUUCAAUCCUCGUUUCAGCAGCUUUCUAGUUGCAACUUGAGACAAUCAUAAACAUGUUCUAACCUUUUCUUCUUUUCUUUUCUUUUCUUUUCUUUCUGCUUUUUCCCUUUCUAAUUAGGAACUUUGCAUCAGCUUGGAAUUAUAUAUUGACAGAGGAAUGGGCACUUACAAGCAAUUAAUGAAUUAGUUUCCUGGAGUAUGGCAUAAUUCAAUAGAAGAUACCUAAAAUUAAGGCAGAAUUAACAACUAACUAGAGUAUAAGGUGCUUAAAUCACAUUGUCGCUUUUGAUGGCCAUGGCGCUUUCAGUGUGGCUAAUCAAACACCCAUUUCCAUCUCUUUUGCGUCUGAAAAAAAAAUCAAAUUUAUUGGCAUUGAUUAUAAUUAGUUGAAGAUCACAAGUUAAAAGAUCAAGAUAUAUACCCAUAACAGCUUUCUCUGCAAGAAAAAUGAAGAAAACAGAAAUCACCUAUUCUGCAACUGUCCUUACAACAAACACAUUUGGGAUAAGGUUGGAACUCUUCUAAAUCAUCCGCACAACUUUGAUAACACUGCUCUCCUAGGCAAAUACAUUUGCACAAACAGACCCAAGUCCAAAAAAACAAAUUAUCCACUUAAACAUGGCGACAGUCACCCUCACGAUUCUAUGGUUAGAAAGAAAUAGGAGAAUUUUUAUUGGAGAAGAAAAAUAACAGUCGGCUUUAUGGGAGAAGAUAUACAUGUCCUCACUCGAUUAUGGACAAGUCGCUCUCCCAUUUUCAGAAACUACUCUACUAGUAGCAUUACACUAAACCUCAAUGUAUUUUAAUGUUUUUCCUUUGAGUUUUGAAGUUUCGGGUCUCAUAAGCUACUCUCUAACUUUUUUGUUUUCUUGCUUCCAUUACUAACUUUGCAAAUUAUUAAUGAAGCUGGAAUGAUGAAAGUGUUAAGCAGGUGUCCAUCUAGUAAAGAUGUCUCAUUGCACCUGCUGACUCAUCGUAUAUUUGUCAAAAAAAAAAAAAAAGACAUGUGAAUCGUUUUAAAAAUCAUAAAAAGCUUAUUUGUUAAUUAAGUUUUUUUUAAUGAUUUUUACAGAAAUAUUUAUUGAAAUGAAUUAAUGGGAAAAUUUAAAAGCUUUAUUUUGUGAAAUUAUUUAGUUCAAAAAUAAAUUCACAUGAUUAUCUGGUUAAGGAUUGUUAUUUCUGCAUUUAAAUUUUUAUGGAAAUUUUUUUAAAAGGUUUAUUUGUUGUUUUGACUUUUAAACUAUUAUUGGGGAGCAGCAUUCUAAAACUUUUAAAAUUUGGUAGGAUUAUUAUUAUUUUUUUAGAUAUUUUUUAAAAUAACAAAAUAUUGAAACGAUUUAUAAAAUAUAAAAUAAUUCAUCAAGCUCUCUUGUAGCGAAUUUAAACUUUUUGUUAUAUUUGGUAAAUAGUUUCAUUUCUUAUUGUUAUCCAUCAUAUCUCUACUUGCUUUUUUUUUUCUUGAUACCUCUCAUUUGAAAAAUGGCUAUAGUAUUCAUUUCCUAUCAAACAAUUGAUAUUUUCAUCGAAAUUGUCAUGUUUUUAUGAAUUUGAAAUUGAUACGAGGAAUGAAGCGAUUUUUGUACAGUGUCAUAGAAAAAACAAUAAAAACAUAAAAGAACAAAAAAAAUAAAAAUAUCGUCAGUGUAAAUAUAGUAUAUAAUUAAUAGACGUCUUAUAAGAUAAGAAAUUGACCAUCUCCUAACAGCCAAAGUGGUGGGAAAAUGUUCAGAACUGCGUCAAAAGGAAUUCCCGAAACCAACUCCCGCGUCGAGAAAGUGGUCGAGAAAACCACGUUGGGAGUGGAAUUUUCGACGCAGUAAGAUAAUGCAUAAAAUCACUAAAUGCUUAUUUACUAAUUUAUAUUUAUUUUUUAUUUUUUAUAUUUAUAAUUCUUUUUGAAAUAUUCAUCAAAACUUAUAUUUUAUCGAUAUUUUCAUUAAUUUUUUCAUAAAAUUAAUAUAUCGCGCUAAGAAAGUACUUGAUAUUUGAGUGUACCUGUGGCCCAACUCUCAACCUCUCAAAACCAUAUCCAAGUUAUCUAUUGAUUAGAAGUGUUAUUAAAUAUGGUUUAAUUAGUAAUAAAUAAAGAUAUAUAUACAUGUGUGUUAUUUAAUUUUAUUAAAAAAUCAUGGAGAUGCUGCCCAUGAGUAUCAAUCCCUAUGUCUAGUUGUGUCUAUCUAACUCAGUAAGCAAGUGCUCUACCAUUUGACCUACAUCUUCCAUGUUUAUUUAAUUUUAUAAAUAUAAAUAAAAAUAUGAUCAUAAAUAUCAUUCUUCUCUUUUUAUUAAAAUAAGUGAAGAAAAGAGGAGAUACCUUAAAUAGUUUAUGCUAAUUUAAGGAAGAACAAUAAAUUAAAAAGAAAAGAACGAGAAAAACGUUGAGGGUCAGUUUUGUUAAUAUAUAUAUAUAUAUUAGAGAUGUUUUCAAAUAUAAGAAAAUAGAACCAAGUUAAAAUGUAUACAAAUAUAGCAAAAUGUCAUUUAAUAUAAGUGAUGACAUUUUGUUAUAUUUGAAAACGUUCUAAGGGUUUUGUCAUUUAAAAUAAUUACCAUAAAAUUUAGGGUUGUUUUUAAAUAUGGUAAAAUAAUAGAGUCUAUCUAUGAUAUACCAUGAUAAACUAUUAUAUGUAAUUAUAUAUGUCAUGAUAGAAAUAAAUAGUAGUCUAUUUUGAAAUAUUUGUAAAUGUUUUUAACAAUUUUAUCAUUUAAAUGGUUAGAUAUAUCAAUAUCUUUUUAAAAAAUUUCAAAUAUUUUAAUAAAGCUACUUUUUUUCUUAAUUAAUUAAGGAAUUAGAUUCGAGAAGUUAAAGAAUUAAUAAUAAAUUAAGUUGAAGAGAAGGAUUGGAAUAAAUUGGAGUAGUAUAAAUUUGAAACCCUCUUGUUUUGAAAUAAACCACAAAGCAUUCCAUAAGUAAUAGAGAUUUGGGUGUGUAUCAAAAGAAAGUAAGGUAGGAAAAUGUGUUCUCAUGUAACAACUGGAGCUUAUGGUCCGUGUGAGGAUCCAAAUAGUUUACACGUGAAAAGAAUAGCAGAAUGGGCAGUGGAAGAAUACAACAAAGGAGACCAUUUCCUGAGCCUUGUAAGUAUAUUGAAAUGUGAGUCGCAAGUGGUGAAUGGAACCAAUUGGCGUCUUAAAUUGAAGUGUGUAGAUCAAAUUAACAAUCGUUUGGGAAUCUAUGUGACUGUUGUGUGGGAGAAAUUGGACGGAAGCCUGGUGCUCAGUGACUUCGUUCCUCUCCUCAAAUGAAUAAACCAACUCCUUACUUAAACUUACUGCUUUUAUGCAUAUGUAAGUUAUGUACUUCCCCUUCUUAAUGAUCAAUAUAUAGAUCUAUAAAUAAUGGGAUUAUAAAAAUAAAUGAAGUAAUAUCCAAUCAUAUAUACACUUAGAAUUUUCUAUGUGUUUCCAUGUCUUAUCUUCUAUUUUAUAAUUACAUCUUGGUAUGACAUGCUAUGAGAGCCAUGCAUUACAAGAAUUACUUGUGUGUCCAACACAACAAUUUUUAGCGACAUAAAAAUUUCGCGCCACAAAAGAUAUACUUUUAAUGACGUUCGCACGUUACUAAAAGCUACUUUUAGUAACAUAGAUUAUGUCACUAUUUAUUUUUAUAGUGAUACAGUGCACUCGCCACUAAAGGUAAUGUUUAAGGGGAGGGGGCCGGUAUUUCUAAAUUGAAAAUUCAAACAAAAUGGAGGGAAAUAAUGUCAUCAGAAUGGCAAAACCAUAUGAAUCACAAUCUACCAAACAAAAUGCAGGCAAUGCCAAAACAUCAACGAUAAGCCUCAAAAACCUGAUCAGUAUGUUCAGUGGCCUAUUUUUAGCAAAAUAAAAAAUCAAAGAAAGAUAGAUGGAUAAGUAGAUGCAUUUAGAUAUCUCAACUAGGUCCACGUAUCCAUAGUAGCAUCCACAUCAUUUGUUUAAAAGAGGAAAGGAGCAAGCUGUAGAAUACUUUCGGGUUUGUCUAACCAUCCAGCAAAACACAACUCAAAUAAUUUAUUGAUGAUAAAGUAGUUACAAGAGAGAGUCUAAGGGCUAAAGCUAAGCCUAGAAGCCAAACGAACUUACAAUGAAGUUAAGAUAUCAAUGGAUUAUUAAUAUUUAGGAAAGUUGUUCCUUGGCUAUAGUCUUUGAGUAGUGCAUGUCUGCUAGCUCGACUAGCUCGACUAGGAUCCAGUUAAGGUCAAAUGUUCUCCCUGUAGCAUCUGCAUCAUUAUUCCACGCUAAACAAUAAAAGAUCUAAUUCAUUAAAAGAAAAAACACGAAGUGUACACAAGCGAAACCUAGAGGAAAGCCAGAGAAAAACUCACCAAUUAAUUAAGAGCUAUAGAAGAGCAGUAUGUUGGAUGGUUUGUAAUUAGAAUGUAGUUUAAAAUAUCUAUUAACAACUUAUUAACCUCUCUUUUGGGGUGAUUUUUGGACUUUUUAAAUAAAUCUGUAAUUGUUUAUUUUUAAAUUUUUGUGUUACAUUCAUGUAAAAGGAAAGUUAAUUUUACUGUUUUUCAAAAUGAAAAGUUAAAAUCUGUAUCAUGUGAAAAUUAUUCAUUUAGUAUUAUACAAGUCCAUAAGUUUUACAUAUUCGCCAAUGAUAUAUGAUUAGAUAAAAAGUGUGAUAGAUAUAUAUACAUAUGAUAAUAAUAUAUUUUAGAUGCUGACAUCUUUUAAAUAGACAAUGCUCCAAAUGCCUAUGUAUUGAACAAAGAUUGCGACACGAAAGAUAUAUCAUAAACAUAAUUCAGAACCAUUGGCUUGGACCUUGAGCUUGAUCUUAAAGAGUGUAUAUGUUUGUCAUUGAGUGGGUCCAAACUCAACGCUACCACUAACCACACCAAUAAGGCUUGGCUUCAGUCCCUGUCUUCUUGCAAGGCUCACCCACUGCACAACCAGCUAUCUCAAUCGCACGAACUUGUCCAAUACAUCCAUGGAACAAUUUGAAGGCUCUCUGAAAUGUUUUGGGUAAGAAUUGAACUAGUCACAAGUGAGGAUCGAGAUCAAGAGAUGCACCUAGUUAAUCAUCUUAGUUAUGUUACCACAAUUAAACAUCACCAACUACCAAAUCCACAUGAAUGAAAAUUUCAUAAUUGCCACAAAAAGAAGUUUGUACACAAUCGAACAAGUGAUUGUUUUAAUGAUAUUAGAACAAUUACGACCUUUUUUUGGUAAUUAUUACUGAUCUCUCUGCUUCUUUAUUCACUCAUCUAAUUUCUACUACUUAUCCACCCUUAUAUACACUACUACUAAUUAACUUACUUGAAAAAAGAAGCCACGAUUAACUUGAUGAAAUAAGUUAACACUCAGGGAUAAUGGGAUAAUAACUGGAGCUUCAGUUCAAUGACACAAUAACGACAUCGAGGACAUCGAGGUCGGGAUCUUAGAUCCAUAGAAUGAGAUCACUGUAAAAUGGUAUAUAAAUACAUGAUAAUGGUCUACUGACGCUACAAAAUACUCUAAUCUAUCAUGUUGUACAUACAGUCACCCCUAUCCCAACUAACACACUAUCUAGAGGUGUAAGUUCACAAGAUAGCCACAUGUAAACCAGAAGUUGAUCCCCCUAUAACAAAUAAAGUAUUCAAUAGCUGGAGCACAACAAAAUGAGAUCCAUUAAAUAAUUAAUUAAAAGACAAUGGAACCAGCACUACUUUUGGUUUUUCUUUUGUUGCUAAUUAAUCGAUAAAUUUGAAUCUGGUUCUCUUAUCAGUAACAGUUUGUAUGUACAUUUAUGUGAGUUAGAGUACACCCACCUUUUGACCAAACCAUAUAUAUUUUAUUUAAGAGUGAGUUGCUUGAUCGAAAAUGUCUUUUUACCUUUUUACGUAUUUUUUUAUGUACAUAUAUUUUCACAUUAUACACACUACUCCGAGCAAACUUAUAUUGAAGUAAAAAUAUUUUUUUUUAGAUUAUUUCUUUUAAAAAAAUAUAAUUGUAGAUUAUAGAUUUAUAUUUUCAAAAAAAAAAAAAAAAAAAUACGGCCAAAAUGAAUUUUCUCGUAAAUAAAAGAUUGAAGAAGGAGAAGAACACUGGAGAGUUAUAGUGUGGUUCAGCUUCAAUAAUGAACCAACCUCCACGGUAGAAAGCCUUACAAAACUCUUCACUUAUUUUCACAAGAAUAUAGAGAACAAUGGAGAAGAAAAAGAGAACUACAUACUCAACGUUCGUUGCUCCCACACGCUGUAAAAUGUAAAGAGAAGAUUUGUUUAAAUAGACUGAUGAAAUACUCAGAUGGGGCUUUUCUCUCUCUACUUCAACACACUCCAUCUAUCACCAACGCCGCCGGUAUCCUCCAUUGACCACCUAUUGAACUUCAUCCGACUUCUGCAUUUAACAUCAAACAGCCGAUAUUUAAUCUAACCAACUACUGUGUUCCCCUAGACAGUCUCAUUUAUCAUUAAACACCCGAACAAGGUGCCUUUUCUUUUUUAACUCGUCUUUUUCAUCUUUCAUCCUCUUUCUUUGUUAUGGCUUCCUACAGACAACUCCCGCGCUCAUGCUCAAUAGAAAAGAAAAAAAGAGAGAAGGUCUAGAGAGCUGAAGAUCCUGAUAACAGAAAUGGGACCAUAGAAGUUUUUCUCUAUUUCCUUAUAUCCGGACUCUCUGGAUUGGUUAAAAUCUACUUUCAAGACUCUGCUCAACUAUCUGCGUACCACAAGAUUCUUUCUUGAAAGGAGAUUUGAUGAAUAUUGUAUAUGGGUUCAAAAGACAACAACAGGAAAGGCUAUCUGGCUGAGAUACUUAGUGUGGAUGACAGGGGCAAAUGUGUUAUUUUGGUUCCAGAAGUAUCCAACAAAAGUGGCUGGAUGCAGAAACAAAAAGGUCCCAACCUUUGACUCAACAAAGAAGAGAAGUUAUCUACACUCCACCAUACUACUCCUCCGGAACAGACAGCCCUAGACGAUCGUAUGCGGAGGUGGUAUCACAAAAAUCUUCGUCUGACUCAGACUCUUUACCAUUACAUAAAAGAGAAUCACAUGGCAAGCGAAAAGAAGAGGCAAAAACUGAAAAGAAAGAAGAUUUUGACUGGAACAAAGUAGUGGUAAUAACAAGACGCUAUAUUCAUGAUGAUUCGUUUAAGAUCAUUGAUAAACUCAAAAACCAAUUGGAAUCUGAUAUCACUUACAAACAGUUCCAUGCGGAAAAGGCCAUUAUUCUUUUCAAAGACACCAGCCAAGCUCAAAUUAUUCUUUUACCAGAUAGGGGACACUUGCAGAGGAUUCAUUGAUGUAGCUCGCGAAACAAAAAAUAAAACUGAUAUCAUUAAGGCCAAGAUAAAGAUCAGACGUAACCACUCUGGGUUGAUAGGGAUUGUGGGCUAAAUAGAAUUAAGUUAUUUUUUAUUUAUUGUUUUGGUUAUUUGGUUUUUUAAUUAUCUCCCAAAUUUUAGCACUCAUUUACUAAUUUUUGUUUUCUUUUUAGACUAUAAAUGUUAGUCCAUUAAAUUGAAUAAAGUCAAGAAGUUCCUUUUAUUUUAUCUCUCUCGAUCAUGUAUAUUUUACAAAGUAUUUAUAUUUGUUUUCUUCCAGAAGAGUGCGUUACAUUUUACAGAUCUUUUAUUUUAAAACCAAACAGCAAUCACCGUCAACAUAAUAGAUGAAGAAGACAACAGAUUCCUCAUACAAACAGUUGCUCCUGAAGAAAGAAAAUGGCUUAUGGAAAGAGAUCCUGUGAUCCAUGGUACUUUCACGAGAAAAGUCACAGCCGGUUUCGAUGAAUUCGACUUGAAAUCAGAGCAAUAUAAACAUUCAUCGGCAGUGUUGCCGUUUCCCCCGAAAAAGUUUCACCGGGAAGUUGGAAAGAUAAACAACAGACACCAAAAGUUCACCGGAAAACCUGCCCAUCAGAAAUUAAUAAAAAAUUCAGCCCCAUGAAUUUAAAUUUGAAUUAUGACGGCGAACAGUGAAAGAAAGGUGACGGAAAGUGACAGCCUGACAAAACAUGUGACGGAAAAGAAAAAAGAAAAAUUGAUUUGCAAAGAGGACAAUUCCAGUGGUCAUUCUAUUAGAAGUGCUAAGAGAAAAGUUUCCACUCUCCACGAAAUGAAUGUUUUGAAUGUAUGAUCCAAAAAGUGUCCCAUUUAGAUCGUUGAAAAUUAGAAGCCCAGACAGUUAUUCACAUAAAUAUCACGAUUGAAGCAAAAGAGAAUGAAAAAAGUCUACAGAGUAAAAAACCAAGCCCCCCAAACUGAAAAUGCUACUGAUAAAGAUGCUAUGAACAGAUCAAAUUCGGAGCAAAUGAAGGAUGGCAAAACGAGCUAAAGCUAGUGGUUCAUCUAGGACAUAUAACCCCAAUAACAAAUGACACCAUCUCCAGUCCAGACCAAUAUGUCUCCACACCAUCUCUACCUUCGCCCACCUAAUCAGAUAUUAUGGGAAACUCUGUGAGACCAAUGCUGAUAAGUGAUCAAGAAAGUGAUCACUUCAAACACUAACCAGAAGGAGAACACUUCAAAAAACAAGUUGGAUUGAGUGACUCAAAGAAAUUGCAGAAUCUUUAAGGGCAGGACUGAACUAUAGCUGAGAUAUGGGAUGAUGUUCAAGCUCUUACACAACAUUGGUGUAUAAGAUCCAAGCUGUUCGAAAAAUACAAUGGUAGUUCGAUUGCUUUAAAUAUUCAUGCUUUUGUAUAGCUUUUUGGGUGCCUUGUUAUGGACUUAUCUUUAGCUCGUUUUGACUCUUUUCAGUGUCAUACAUAUUUCUCUGUUAUAUCUUAAUGAAGUGAAAAUGAUGACAACGUUAAGGAGUGUGCACCUAGUAAAGAUAUCUGCAUGCGCUUGCUAAUCCAUUAUAUCUUUUUCAAAAAAGAAAUAGUCAGAUCAUUUGCCACCCCAUCAUGAUUGGUCUCCUCAGGUCAUUUAGUUGUUCUAACUUUUAACAAACUUCAUGCGGUUUACAAUCGGAGAUUUAAAAAAUAUAAGAAAUAUAAAAAGUGUCAUAGUGAUAAUAUUUCAAACCCACCAUCCAAGAUUUAAGUAGUAGAAGAAAGAUAAAUAAAGUCGACUUUAAAAAAGAGAUAUAUAAUGUAAAUUGAAAUAUUCCUUAAUGCAUUCAUAAAGAGAGGCCAGUUUUACAUAUUUAUUGAUGGAUAGAUAUGUAAGAGAUGAAAAUGAUGCAUAAGAAAGCACCAUUUUCAUUAUACAGAGCAUGAUUUCAUGGGUUUUAGAUGUUGAUUUCUUCAGCAUACUCAAAAGAAAAAGGCUUGGAAGGCCAAUGAGUGGGCAAAAGAAUUUAACCACAGUGAUCUUAAUAACAUAAGCAUCACCAACCCUGACGUAUGGCUUCAACUUAAGGGUACAUGUUUUGCCAUUUGGCCCAACCUCACACUCCCAUCUAAAAUGUCUUUUUUACUUCUUUUACGUAUUUCUUAAUCUCUUAUAAAUGCUUCGAGUUUCUCCCUAGCUCAUUUUGUAACUUUACAUUGAUUAAUGAUAUCGUUUUUAUUAAUUGUUUUUGGUUUUGGGAAUAAUGAGGUAGCUAUAGAGGUACCAAUGCAAUUGAGAUAUUUUGGUGUACUCUUGAUCAUCUUUUGUCUUAGGGUAUAUUUUCACAAAAAAAAUUAAUUUAUAAAAGAAAACAAUUAUUAUUCUUCAUCCAAUAUACUAUUCAUUCUAUACCAAAAAGUUAAUAUAUGAUUUGAAAAUGAUGUAUAGUGUGAUAACGAUUUCAUUUUAAAUUAUUAAUUUGUAGCUUUCUUUUUAAAUUAAAAUAUAAUUAGUGGAUAUUAUUCUUAUUUAUUCACAAUUUUUAGUCAUUUUCUUGCUUUUUCAAAGAAAGAAUUCAAAUUCUUUAAUUAAUAUAUCAAUUUAAAACAAUGGUCUUAUCCAUUACAUAUAACAUAUACAAUUGUAGCCACCUAUUUUUAUCCUACAUAUAUAUCUUUUUUUAAAUACUAGCACUAGUAAUAAUGACUAAACAUUUUAUUUAUUUAUUUAUUUUAAAAAGGUAAAUAAAUAAUAAUAACAUAAUAUCUCUUUCUUAUUGUUUUAGAAAAGAAAAACAAAUCCAUUUAUUUUAAAUAAAAUCUUUUAAUAUGAAAGAAAAUAUUUAGUUUUAAAUAAAAUAUUCUUUUAAAAACUUAUUUCUACUCAUUUUAAAAAAUAAAUUAAUUAAUUAAAUAUUUCACUUAUUUUAAACAAAAUCUUAUAAUAUCUAUUUAAUUUAUCAAUUAAUUUUUUACAAAAUCUCAAAAUAUCUCAUUUAAUUUAAUAUACUUAUUUUAGAAAAAUAAAAUUUUAUUUUAUUAACAUAAUAUCUAAUUUUUGUAGUACACCCCAAGUAAAUGGAGUAGUUGUCAUUUGGAGAGAGGAAAAAAGUUUCUUAGAGAAAAAAAUUCUUUAGAGAGAAUGCUUAUAAAAUUUUUAUUAUUUAAAGCGAAUAUGUGAGAAGAAAAUUGUGGAAAGCAUGAGUUUUUCUUAUUCUUUUCAUUACCUUAUUGUCUCUACUUUUUUCUUAAAUUUUAUCUUAAGCAAAACAAAUCUCACAUUGAAAUAAACUUAGUUGGAAGUUGCAUCUUGUAGGGGAUUCGAAUCCUUAUGUAGAAAAAAUUUAGUAUUUUUUUACUACUUUUUUUAUAUCGUCAUUUAAAAGAAAAUUUCUUUAGUUUUUUUCUUCUCUCUAACAAAAUAGGGAGAAAGAAAACAACAUAAGAAAAAUAUUCAUUUUAUUUAUUUAUAUGUAUUUCAUUACUUUUUUUAAAAUCCCUACUUUUAACCUUUAUUUUCUUUUCUCUAAAAUAUAGAGGGAAAGAAUGGGGAUAGAUAAAAUUUUAUCAUUAUUAUCGUUGUUGUUAUCAUCAUCAUUAUUAUUAUUAUUAUUAUUAUUAUUAUUAUUAUUAUUAUUAUUAUUAUUAUUAUUAUUAUUAUUAUUAUUAUUAUUAUUAUUAUUAUUAUAUCUUAUUACUAUUAAAGUUCUUUUGUCUUUUUUUUUUAUUAUUAUUAUUUUAUUUCUUUUAUGGGAUCGCCACCCCUCUACCAUUUUUCUUUCUUUAUUCAUUCCAUUUUUUGUUUUUUUCUUAUUUUAUUUAUUGUUAUUAUGUUUCCUUUUUUUUUACUUUUCACAUUACUAUCAUGAAUAUUGUUAUAUGCAUUUAAAUGUAACUUUUUGUAUUAAAAUUGUUUAAUGUUUUAAACUUCUUUUAAUUUAAAAUUCUUUAUGUUUUAUAAUAAAGAAUUUUUUUAAUCAUUUAGCAAAUUUAUCUUUAAUGUUAUAAAUGUUUUAUGUUUUUCAAAACCUUCAAAAUUAACCUAUGAUUUCAUAAGAUUUCCUAAAUGAGUCUUUUCUAAAAAAAUUUAUAUCGUUUUACUUAAACAAAAAUCCUAUGACAGAAUCUAGAAAAUUUAGAAGUUCGAUUUUCUAGAAUUCUUGAGGUGAGGAAUUACAUCUUUAGAAGUCCAAGAUAUGAACCCAAGAAAAAAAUGAAGUUAAUCAAUGUUUUUUUAAAAAAAUCUUUAUUCAAAGAUUUGCCUAGGAUAGAUUUUGAGAAAUUGUAAUAAUUUGUCGUUUUCUUAAGGUGAGAAACUUUGCUCAAUAUAUAGUAUAAUUAAUAGAAUAUUAUUUCACUUAUUUUAUAAGAUCAUUGCUUCAAAUAUUGGAGUAAUGAAGGGUAAAAUAAGACACUAGUUUUAAAAUAAAUUAAAAAAUAUUUUCAAUUUAAGAUGUUAAAUUUGGCCACCGGUUUUUUAAGUGGGUGUUGUUGGGUGCUAAUACCUUCUCCACACACAAAUAGCUAUGGAACUCAAUUCUAUUUUUCACAUACCACUUUUUAAAAAUUGUUUAUUUUAUUUUGGUGUCCAAUCACAUCGUAAAAGAGAUUGGUGGUGACUCUUAUUUUCUUUUAAAACUAACUCUUUUGAAAACGUCGGCUGCUCCACGUCGUCUUGAAAACAUGGCGACAUACAUAGAAACAAAGCAAUAACAUAUGGGCAUUAGAUUGAGAAUAAGAGGUUUUAAAAUGUAGAAAAAUGGUUAGAUUAUUUACAAGUUCAAAAAAUUUCACAUUCCUUACGAUCUGAUCGAUAAUGCUAAUGCUGAUAAAAAUUGAUUAUGGAUAGAAAUCACUACAUGUUUAUCAUUGAUAGAAAUUGAUAGAAAUUUAUUAAUGUCUAAAAUGUUUCUUUCUUUUUUGCUUUUGUGGUUAGUUUAACAUUUUUCUAUUUGUAAAACUUUUUGUGGAGAUAAUCAAUUUUAGAUAUAUAUGUAUGGGACAUUUUUUAAAAUAGCAAAAUAAAUUAAAAUAUUUAAAAACUAUAACAAAAUUUUGGAUUCUAUCACUAUAACAUAUCAAUCACUAUCAGUGAUAGGUUGUAAAUAUUUCGUAAAAUUUACUAUUUUUAAAAUUUUUCAUAUAUAUAUAUAUAUUACAAGGAGUACCACUUAGCUCCUCCGGUCAGCCUAUGUUCACACCCUAACUAAUGCAAUUCUUUAAUUAUAAAGUUUAAAAAAAUUCUAUACAAAUAACCGUUUCAAGAGAAAAGAAAAAGGGAAAAUUUUACAUAAAUAGAAGAAAAUGGAAAGUAUUUACAUUCUAUAGCAAAAAAAAACAUGGAUACUUUGGGUUUGGUUAAAAUUUUAGUUAUUCAUUCUGGGUUUGGUUAAAAAAUUCAUUUUGGAUCAUAAAUAGUCGGUCAAUUCUUCUAUUUUUAAAAGUUUAAAAAAAAAACUACUACUUGUAAAUACUAGAAUACACAACGUUGCACGUGUUAAUAAGACCUCUCUUUCUUUGAAAUUAUCUAUAUUUUAUUUCUUUAAAAAAUGUGUGUGUAUAUAUAUAAAGAAAAUAAUAUCGAAUGGAGGAACAUUCAAAAUUAAAUAAACAUAAUACAAUAAAUAAAGAAAGUAUUAGUUUAUUAAACUAAUACAUUUUUAAUACUCUAAUCAUAGGGAUGGAGGAUAAAUUUUCAAUCUCAAAAGGAAGGAGCGAAUUGUUAAGAUGUGAACUCACUUAGUCUAGUAACCACGUUAUGUACAUUUAUUUUUUGGGUUAAAUUUUCAACAUUUGAAUUUAACAAACGUUUUUUUUGCUUUUAUUGAGAUCACUCUAUAAAAUGCAACUGCAACCUAUAAUCAUUGUCUACAUAGGAAGAUAAUUUUCAACAUAUAGUAUUGUUUGACUUUGAGUUUUUGUUGUAAAAUUGAGCAGCACUCAAACUCAAAUUUAAAUAUAACUUACAAUAUUGUGAUAUCAAUAAUGAAAAUGAAUAAAAGUCUAUAAAUGUUGUAGAGUAAAGUUUAGAUUUUACAGGAAUGUGGUCAAGCAGACACAAAUGUUUCAAAAGUUGCAGACACAAAUGUUUCAAAAGCUACAGUCAAUAUAUGCACAAAAAUUUAAGUGCUUUUAUCAACUAACUUUUUUUUUUUUAUAAAGAUACGAUAUGAAAGAAGAUGCAAAGGGAGAUCUUCACAAGGAAGAUGUUCCAAAGCAACCCCUUCAAACCUGCUUCAUUAAAAUAUCAGAGUCAAAUACAAGAAGCAGAAGAUAAUAGAGGGCUAGAGGGAAGCCCAAAAAACUUGAAACGCUAAAAAGCAUCUAAGUUUAAUGUAAUAGAGCUAGGCGAGUAAUUUUUGAAGAGGGAAGAUCGACUUGUCUAAAAAUCCGUUAUGGCUUGUAUGUCUUCCCAUACGGUAUCAACUUUUUUUUCUUCCCCCUUAAAAAUCCUUCUGUUUCUUUCAUUCCAAAUGUUCCAAAGGGUAGCAGCCACCAGGUGUUGAUUGAAGGUUUGCUUUUUUUGUUUUACCUUUUGUUUUGAAGAGAUCUUUGCAUAAGGCAGUGGAAUUUGGAAAGAGCAGGGGUUUGUCCAGAAUAACUUCAACUUUCUUCCAGAGCAAUGUUGAGAAGGAGCAAUGGGUGAAAAAAUUUGCAUGAAAGUUCAUCAUUGAAAGCAUUAAAAUUUGGGUAAAAUACAACUUUUGACGAUCUUUCGAGUUUCAUACUACUUGAUCUUCUCCAAAUUAAAUUCUUACCAACAGAAAUCGUAGAAGUAGAGGAGGGAAAUCGUUAAGUUGAAGAAAAUAUAAUUUACAGUUUUGUUUAUAUUAAUUUUAAUAUAUUUUAAAGUAUUUUAAUGAGUGUAUUUUCAAAUAUAGCAAAUUGAACCAAAAUAUUUACAAAAUAUAGUAAAAUUUUAUAUUUUAUCAAAUACUUAUAGACAUCAAUAAAUAUUGAUAGAACUUCUAUCGGUGACUAUCAAUUUGCUAUAUAAUUUGUAAAUUAUCAGUUCAAGGAAGAAAGUUCUAUAGGAAAUUGGUCGUAUGGGUCCCCCAAAGAGGUUCGAUGUUUUAGUAUUACGAGCCAUAUGUAGGUUUAAGUAUUAUGAUCAUCGCAUCAUUAAAAAACUAGAUAUGAUAGAGUUGAGUGAUAUAAUAUUAAAUUGGUCUUCACUUAUCACCUUAAUUAAUUGAUUUAUAUCCCCAAAUUAAUAUUCAUUCUUUUACUUAUUGAACCUUCGUUAUUCGAUCCUACAGAUGAGGAAAAAUGUGAGUAACACAAUACUUCGAACUCACGAACGGAGAUUUAAGAAGUAGAAGAAAGAUCAAAAAAAAAAAAAAAAAAGAGACAACGUUAAGAGGUUUGAAUAUACUUUGUAAAUAAAAACAUCUCUUAUUGCAUUGUUAAAGAGAGACCAGUUUUACAUAUUUAUUGAUAGAUAGGUAAGAGAGAUGGAAAUGAUGCAUAAGAAAGCACCAUUUUCAUUAUCCAUAGCAUGAUUUCAUGGUUUCUAGAUGCUGAUUUCUUCAAGAUACUCGAAAGACACAACGCUGGGAAAGCCAACGAAUGGGAAAAAGAGUUUAACCAGAACGAUCUUAACAACAUAAGCAUCACCAAUUCUGACCUUUAACUUCAACUUAAGGAUAUAUGUUUUGCCAUUCAGCCCAAUCUCAAUCGAACCAUCUAUAAAACCUUCAAAGGUGGCGUCAAUUUGAAGUACACUCUGACAGUGCUUAAUCACAUGCUGAACAAGUAAAUCACAAAGGGUAUUGUCCGAUAGAUCCAAUGGAACAAUUUGAAGGCCACCACCAAUCCCGAUUCCAAGAGUCAUCUUUCUUAUAAGCUAAUUUGAUAUGUUAUAUAUAUUGAAUAUAUAUAAGUCUAAUUCUCUCACAAACUUCUAUGAUCUCUACUUAACUCUUCACUCCUCUUUAUAUACACUCCAUCACACUUACCUCUCUCUCCUCCAAAUAAUGACUAUUUUAUUUUUAAAAUAUAUAUACUUUUGUUGUUGUUUAAUUGAUAAAUAUGAAUCUGAUUCUCUUACAAAUUAUAAUUUUUUUUGUUGUUGUUGUUUAUGAGAGUUAGAAUACACUCACCUUUUGACCAAAAAACCAUUAAUAUAUAAUAUUUCUUUAGGUAUUUUUUUAUGUACAUAUAUUUUUACAUUAUACACCUACUAAAGAAAUUUUUUUAACAAAAUACUCCGAAAAAACUUUUAUUGAAAUAAAAAUAUUUUUUUAACAAGAAAAUCUUUUUUUUUUGUUUGUAUCUAUAAUAUUUGCUACUAUAUCACUCAACUCCAAACCAUUUUUUAAUCUCUUAGUAAAACUCUUCAAGGUUCUCUCUAGCUCGUUGGUACCUUUACAUCGAUUAAUGAUAUCGCUUUUGGUCUUGGAGAAUGAUGAGAAAGCCAUAGAGGUGCCAACCUAGUUGAAAUGUAUUUUUGGUGUACCUUGAUCCUUUUUUUCCUUUUGUAUAUAUAUAUAUAUAUUAAAAAUUAUAUCUUAAUGAAAAAAACAAUAUUAUUAUUUUUUUGUGAAAUAUACUAUUCAUUCUAUACCAAGAAGUUAAUAUGAUCUGAAAAUGAUGUAUGGUGUGAUAACGAUUUCAUUUUGAAUUAUUAAUUUGUAUAGCUUUGUUUUCUAAUUACAAUAUAAUUCGUGGAUAUUAUUCUUAUUUAUUCACAAAUUUGUCAUUUUCAAAGAAAAUAGUUUUAAAUUGUUAAUUAAUAUAUCAAUUUAAAACAAUGAUCUUGUUCAUUAUAUAUAUACAUAGAAGGGAAAGCAAAAAAAAGAAAAAAAGGCCAUUAGGUUGAGAAUAAGAGCCUUUAAAAUAUAGAUAAAUGGUCAAACUAUUUACUAAGUUAAAAAAAUUUCAUAUUCCUUUAUCAUUCAGAUACAUAAUGUAAAUAGAAAUCAACUUGGGAUAAAAAAUGGUCACAUGUCUAUGGUCGAUAGAAAUCGAUAAAAAUUUAUUAGUGUCUAUCAAUAUCUAUAUUCCAACAAGCUGGACCUGCCUUUCAAUUAUAUAUAUAUAUUUUGUAACUUCUAUAAAUUCAAAUUGUACAAUUAUAACAAAAUUUAACAUUUAAAAAAAAAUGUUAUUUUCAAAUUAUAACAAAAUAAAUCGAAAUAAAAUAUGAUAAUCGUAUAUACUAGUCUACUAUUAAUCAUUUUUGAUUUUUUUUUAAAAUAGUAGAUUUUACAAAAUAUUUACAACCUAUAACAAAUUUUAUCACUGAUAGUCGUUAAUAUGUUAUAAGUGAUAAAAGACUAUCCGUUACAGAAUCCAAAAUUUUGAUAUAACUUAUAAAUAUUUUAAUUUAUUUACUACUUUGAAAAAUGUUCUAUAAUUAUUUUUAUAUAUAAAAAUAAUUUUUCACUUAAAAAAUUCUAAAAUAGAAACAGGAAAAAAAUAUCAAAACAUUUUAAAGUCGACCUCUCACUUAGUGAAAAGGAUAGAAAGAAGUUGUGGGUGAAAUGUAUUGGAAAAGACACCCAAUAAAUAUAUAUAUAAUUGUUUUGAAACUUGAGGUAUGAGGGCACUCGCACACAUAGCUAUCCUUCUUAUCCAAUGUCAUCAUUUCUGGAAAGGGUACCGUUGCUACGAAUGUUUUAAUUUAGUUGAGAUAUUUCGAUACACCAAUCGACUACAUAUUUCUUUGUGUGAUAUUUGUAAUAUUUUCUUUUAUUUAGGGGACUUGAUUUGUAGAGGAUAACUUGUGCAACACAAAAUAUAUCCAACUUUCAGUUAAUGUUAGUUAAUUCGUAUCUCAAGUGCACCUAAUGUUGGCUUCUGCCCCAUAUGGUUAAAAAAUAGAUAAAUUGAUUUAGAUUACAGAACAAAUUAAAAUACUUAUAAAUAUUAUAAAAUAUUAUCUUUUAUCAACUGAAAAAUUAUAAUUCAGAUACACAUUAAUAGGCCAACCAUCGGUAAAAUUUCCGAGGAGCUCUAACAGAAUUAGCAAAAAUAAGUUUAUGAUAAUAAGAUUCAUGUCACUACAUUUUAAAACUGUAAAAAUAGAAAAUUUAAAAGUCGAUAACUCUAUGAUUACCAUUUGAUAGCCCUAUGAUUACUGUCUGUCGUAGCCGUCUCAUAUCAUUAAUUUGUCAUAUUGGUAAUAUACAAAAAAAAAAAAAAAAGAUGGAACGAGCUAAUUUUUUUUCUAUAUGUUUUUGUCAAUCGAUCCGAUAUAUCUUUAUAAAUAUUUUAUUUAAAAAUAAGUCUAGAAAAGUUAAUAUUAAUUAACAAUUUGAAAAGCAUUUCAUUGAAAAGCAACUAAAAGACUAAAAAAAGUUAGGGAGUAGAAGAAUAAUAUCUAUAAAUUAAUAAUUAAAAAUGAAAUCACUAUCACAUAAUACUUUUCAAGCGUUGGAAUAAUAUCUAAUACUAUAUAUAAAAUAUAUAUUUUUAAAAACAAACAUAUUAUUGAAACUGUUUAUAAAAUAAACUGAAAUUCAUCCAAUUCUUUUAACUCAUUAAAAAAAAUUUUGGUAUAUUUUGUAAGUAGUUUUUUUGUUUUUAUGCAUAGAAAUCUCAUGCCUCUAAAAUACGUAUAUUUUUCAUUUACAUUUUAGAUAAAGAGAGAAUUAAAAUUCAAAUCAUGAACCAUCUUCUUCGUGUUUCUUUAUUUUGAGUGCCAAAAUUUAACUUAAACUAUAUUCAAUUUUUAGUCCCAUAAUGAUGUAUGUGUGUAGAUAAUUUUAUAUUUUUAAAUUUAUGUCACUUCCUAUCUCAGGUAAAGGAUAAGCAAUAGAACAUCCAACCACGUGAUAAAAAAUGCAUAAAAAAUAGUAUAGAUCAAUGUAUUUUCAAAUAUAGCAAAAUUGAACCAAAAUAUUUAUCAAAUAAUUAAAAUUUUAUAUUUUAUCAAAUACUAAUAGAUACAUUGAUAAACAUUGAUAGAACUUCUAUCGGUAUCUAUCAAUUUACUAUAUUUUAUCAACUUAUCAACUCAAGGGAAAAAGUAUGAAGUUUUGUAUGCACUUAAGAAUAAUGUAUAACAGAUUCUAGAAUCGAAGAGCGUUAUCGAUCUUAUUCAAUUGAUUGUGUAUACAUAAAGUGUUCAUGUUUAACUAGCAUGGUGGAACUUACAUGGAAAGCAAUAAAAUGAGAAUAAUAAAGGAAAGAAGUAUGAAUUUUACCGUUUAACUAGUAUUGUUGUCGUUUUUAUCUGGGAUAAAAUUGCCCAUAUGAUGAACUCGAGCAAUCAUCAUUCAAACCAGGUCUCUCUUUGCAAAGAACUGAUUAACAUAAAUCAGAAAAGUAGAAAGGGUUCCAUUUUGUUCAACACCAUUGUGGUCUCUUUUUGGACCAUUUGUACGGAGAGAAAUCACAUAAUCUUCAUUGAACAUGAACACAUUGGAGCAUGAAAUAUUGGAAAACAUAAAAUCUCUCAUUGGCUUUUGGAGCAGCAGAGCGAAUUUAUUUUCAGAAUAUAAAAUGCUAGUAUUAUUACUUUAAAUAUCGAAUGCUUUUGUAUAAUGUGAGGUUUAUUGGGCUCUUCUCUGGUCCUCUUCUUUUUUAUCCUUGCUUCCUAUAAUUGACUGUUUGAUAUUAAUGAAUCAGGAAUGACGAGGGUGCUAAAGGACGGAUGUCCACUUAGUGAAGAUAUCCAUGUGCAUCUACUAACCCAUGUAUGUAUCCUUCUCAAAAAAAAAAAAGAAGAAGUAAAAGCAUUAAAGUAUAUACCAAAAGACAGUUUGGAGAUUAAUUGAGAAACCUACAAGAUAAUCUCUGAGAGAUAUGGAAUGUAACCAAAAGAUAGAGAUCGAGAAAUCACAAAGAGAUAUAUGAGGUACUAAGAGAGAUAUAUCGAGAUACACCAAGAGAUGCAAUGAGACAAGUACUGAGAGAUAUGGAAUGUACCUGAGACAUAAUGGACCGAAAAAUCACCAAGAUUACAUCAAGAGAUAUGUGAGGCACCCAAGAGAUACACCGACGCAAGCAUCAAGAAAUAUAGAAUGUAUCGAGAGAUGCACAGAGAGAUACAUGUAGUUACACAAAUAACUAGGAAAUAUAUUUUAUACGUUAAGAUUGCUUGAAUCAAUCACCAAAUUUAUAGGUGAUUGCUCAAACCAUCAAAAUAAUCAUUUGACGACUAAUUACACAAAUUUAAAGGUUUUGUAAUCCUUGCUUUAAUUUGCUUCCAACGAUACUGUAAGCUCACAUUCCGCUCUCCUUUAUUUAUUUUAAUAUCUCCUCAGUUAUGAAAAACAAAUUAGAAUACUUUUGUACUUUUGAAAGGUUGAGUCAUUUUGAUAGGAAACAUUAGAACCAAUUUUAGUUGGAUAUAAGACUUAAAUUUGGUAAGAUGUUGAGAAGAAUGAAGAAAAAAGCAAAAUGGAAGUUAAUUAUGAAAUGUUAGGGGUAUAGUGGUCUUUUUCUAAGAUCUUUAUAUUAACAAUGAAGUUUAAAAAAAAUAAUAAAGAAGGAUAAUCUUCUUCUCUUCUUGAGCACGCCCCACCCCCCUUCUCAAAAUUUCGUGCACCCCUCUUCUUCACGCUGACGCCACCACAAGUCUUGACCGCCCUUGCGCCACUCGACUCGUCGGACGACGAUCAGCACGCCAUGCUAGCCACCUCACUGCCAUCGUCAGCUGUGUAGCUGCAGACCAAGUUUGCAUCCAAUGAAGCUGCUGCAAGUUGCUUGGGUUGCAGGUCUGCCAAGCUAAGUCGAGUUCGUUCAAAGUUGCUGCGCCGCUCCUCGUCUGUGGCUCCUCCCCGUACGUCGCGCCAUCGCUAGCUUGUCGGAUUAAUUCAUGUGAGCAGAUUUGGUGCUUUCUGGUCAGUUUGCGGAUUCUUCUUAAAGAGUUUUGAAUACCCAUUAAGUUUUGACUUGAUUUUCUCAGUACCCUUUACAUUUGGUUGUUAGACUUGGAGUUUUAGGAAAUUUUAGUCGCUGUCCAGUCGUGAGGAGACUCGAAAUAGGACGUUGGCACAAAUUUUGGUAAAAUUCUAAGUUUUUUGGAGUUGAUUUUGAGUACCCAUAUGAUUGUAGUGAUAACACCGUGUAAUCCAUGAUGGUGGAUGUGUGAUUGCGAAUUUAGAAAGUACUUAUGGUGCUGUCGAUUGACGUUUAGAUUUCUUGAUUAGGUUCUUGGGAAGUUUUGGAGUAUUCUCGUUGAGUUGUCCAAGAGUUGGAUGGAAAGGUUGAAAAUAAACUUUCCUUUCACUUGGGUGUUACUUUAUAAGCUUCGAAACAUAAAAUGGUUGUAGGUACUAGUUUCGAUUUUAGAAAGUCGAUAAUGUGUUGCCAAGGCGAUUUCGAUUAGUUAUUGAUAAGAUUGUAGAUAAAUUUAGUGGGUUCUCUAAUAGUUCUUAAAUACCUAGUUUAGUCUUAACAUGAACUUGAUUUUACCCAUAUUGUUUUGUGCGAGAAAAUUUUAGAAUAAAUUUUAUUUGGGUGAUGACAGAAACUUAGUGUUCACAAACCAUUUAUGGUUUCUAUUUUGGUUUGACCUAUACAAGAAGAAUUAAGAUGUAAGGUUGGAUUUUUUUGAAAGUUACUCAAUUUUUAACCAGUUUUGUUAAUAAAGCUUGAGAAAAUUUUGAGGCUAAGUGAAUGAUUUUUGAAGUAGAAAACAGGUCAUAGAAUUUUCAAGCAAUUUCAAGAAGCAUCUGGUUUUUUGAGUAUUCUAGAGUGUACAGAUGGAACUAAAAGCUCUAUUUGAUAUGGUUGGAAAGCUUAUUCAAUUUCCUAUAACUUUCAUGAAGCACUAGUUAGUCAAUUCUGACUAGAAGUAUGUUUAAAUUUAGGAGGAAAGUAGGAGGUUGUAGAGAAUACGAUUUUGGAGUACUUGUUUUUUGGGGAAAUUCUGGACAAAUUUAGUGAGAAUCUCACUUUCACUUCUUCAAUUACGUUGUAUAGAGUUCCAAAAUGAAGAGUUUGAUAUAAAGUACAUUAAUCUCUAUUAAGUAUUGAAGAAGUUAUGAGUAGUUGAAGUUAGCCUACUGAAGUUGGGAAUUUCUGGAAAAGUAUGAAUUAUGAUUUUAUUUGUUAAGUGUAGAAUUCAUGUGUGCCAUAGUUUUUGCGAUCUUAAGUUAUUGUAGAAAUAUAAGACUAUUUAAGAUCGUUUAAGACAAGUUUGGACAAGUUCCUAAGUAUUUGACUAGUUAGACUGAUAUUGAGAUUGUUAAUGUAUCUAAACCUCUAAGGUAGGAAUAUUGGAUAUAAAAGCCUAUGGAUUUAAAGACCCACUAAGAUUGAUUUAAGUUGGGUGCUUAUGGGGAUAAGAGUUUAAGUUGAAGUUAAAGGGUUCAAAAGUGUAACUUUAGCUUAAAUUAAAGUAUGUAGGGAUUGAUACAAGUUAAUAAUGAAAAUGAGAAAUUAAGUCCUUGGAAUGUUAAUUGCUUAAAUGCUAAUAACGAAGUGUUUUGAAAAUUAUUGUGACAUCUUGCUCUGUGAAGGUAACUGAUAGGUCUAAAUCUUUGUAUCAGGCCAAACCAAAGUUGGGAAAACGUAUAAUCCUAGGAGAUCGAGUUUUUGACAGUGAAUGGCUCAUUUUAAAGCUUUGUUUGUACUUGUACAUGUUAUUUAUGAUAUAGCUUGGAAACUCGUUUAUGAUAUCCUUAAACGAUGAGAGAUCGUCUAGAUGUGUAUGGUGAGAUACACUUGUUGUGUUGUAGUAUCUGAAGUUUAGUUAUAUACCUUUAGAAGUGAAGAUAUCUCCCAGUUUUUUUAGGUUUGGCUAUCCCGUAGUUUUAAAGAUGCUGUCGAAAAUUUUAUAGAAUUUUGAUUGAAAAAGUAUUCUAUUAACCUUACAUUUAGAAAAAACUGUUUUAAAGAGUAGAUUCACACCACGAUCUAGGUUAGAGGAAAAACCUAAAACGAGGUGUGACAGGUACUUUUGAAGAUAAAUCUUCUACAAAAAGUCCCAUAGGAAUUUGAUGGGUUUCCAAGAGACUCACUGUUUUAGUGUUACGAGUCAUGUGUAGGUUUGAGUAUUAUCAUCGCGUCAAAAAAACUGACGAUAUAUAAUAGAAUUGGGUGAUAUAAUAUUAAAUUUGUCUUCACCUACCAAUUUAAACAUUUUAGAUCAAUCAGUGAUUUAAGAUGAUAUUAGAGAAAGAACAUUGUUGUUUCAUCCUCAAAUUAAUAUUCAUUAUUACUUAUUGAACCUUCGUUAUUCAAUUCUACAAAUGUGAAAAAGUGUGUAAGUAAUAAUAUUUUGAUCCCACAAUCAGAGAUUUAAGAAGUAGAAGAAAAAUUAAAAAAAAAAAAAAAGAAGAAGAUAGACAUUAAGAAAGUCGAAAUAUAAUGUAAAUUAAAACAUCCAAUAUUGCAUUCUUAAACAGAGAUCGGUUUUACAUAUUUAUUGAUAGAUAUAUAAGAGAGAAAGCACCAUUUUCAUUAUACAUAGCAUAAUCAUGGUUUUUAGACGUUGAUUUCUUUAGAACACUCGAAAGACAAAAGGCUUGGAGGGCCAAAGAGUGGGCAAAAGAAUUUAAUCACACCGAUCUUAAGAACAUAACGAUCACCGACCUUGUCCUUUAGCUUUAACCUAAGGGUAUAUGUUUUGCCAUUUGGCCCAACCUCACACUGACCAUGUAGAAUACCUUCAAAUUUGACAUCAAUUUGAUGUAUAGAUUGACAGUGAUUAAUCACAAGCGGAACACAUUGCUCAAUAAGCGACCUGUCCGAUGGAUCCACUGGAAGAAUUUGUUUACUAACGGGAAACCGUCGACUCAUCUUUCAAAUUAUAAGCUAAUUUGAUAUGAUAUAUAUAAGUCUAAUUCUCUCACAAACUUCUAUGAUCUCUACUUAACUCUUCACUCCUCUUUAUAUACACUCCAUCACACUUACCUCUCUCUCCUCCAAAUAUUUACUAUUUUAUACUUUUUAAAAUAUAGUUUCUUGUUUUGUCUAAUGGAUAAAUUUGAAUCUGAUUCACUUAUUUAUUUAAGAAUAAUAGAAUACACUUACCUUUUCUUUACUAAAAUUCUAUAGAAUAUUAUGUUUGAAAUUAAGUUGCUUCAAAAUUAUCAUUCUUUUUCUAAUACACACAAAAAAGAUAAUUAACUUUAGAGAAUAAUUUAAAUAAUCAGAUUAUUUAUAUAGUAAAUAGUAUACAAAAUUAAAGUUUAAUUUUAAAACAUUUUUAAAAAUAACAAAAUAAAUUAAAAGAUUAUAUCAAUGAUAGAAUCUGAUAGGCGUCUAUCACUGUCUAUCAAUAUUAGUUGUAGAAACAUAUUUGCGUUUAUUAAUAUCUAUUAGUGAUAGAAUCUAAAAUUUUAUUAUAUGUUAUAAAUAUUUUGUUAAAUUUGCUAUUUUUCACCAUUUUUUUUAUUAAUGUUAAGUCUCUUUUUACUUUUUAAGUUAAAAUUAAGUAUAAAAUUGAGGAGAAUGAACGUCAUUCUUAAAUUGUUUACACAUAUUGUCCACUCUCGGCCAUCGUUACUACCACUUUCAAUUUGUUUUAUUUUUCUAAUUUAUCUUUGUGAAAAUGUUUUAUGGAUAUUUAAAAAUAGUCAAUGAGUUUAAUGUAAAAGUGAUCCCCUCAUCUCCCAAAUUAAAACACAUAUACACUUUAUUUCUUUAAAGUUUCAUAGUUUUUCAUAAUUAGGUUUCCAUUCCCAGUGUUGGAAUGAUAUGGUAAAGAAAAUCUGAUAAAGAAAGAAAAACUGAAAAAUGUAUGUGGUGACUGCUGGUUCUCUCUCUAUAUAAAAAAUAUUUUAACUAAAAUAAAAUUUUAAAAAAUAAAUGUUGGAGAUCUUUUAUAAAUAAGCGAGAAAUAAAUAUUUUGAAAUUUUUAUAAAAAAAUGUUGGAGGGUUUUCUUUUAUUAUUAUUAUUUUAAAUGGCAAGCUAGAUCAUAUCAAUGUAUUUGAAUUGACAAAAAAAAAAAAUACUAAAAAGAUAUUGAACAAAUAUGAAUAAUAUUUUAAAAAUGAAAUCGUGGUUAUGUGUUUAUGGCUUCUCUCUGGUUUAUUUAGUUAAGAAUGCUUACCUACUAACUCAAGUCGUAUUUUUUUUGUUUAGAAAUAAAUGAAAUCGUUGUUACAAGCUAUGUUUUAAAGCUAGGUAGAGAAUAACCUUCUUUUUUUUUGAAAAAAUAACUUUCCUUUUUAUUUUUAGAUAUGAGAGAAUUAAAAUUCAAAUCAUCAUCUUCUUCAAAAAUAACAUCACCUCAGUAGUAAUUUUUUGUUAAGCUAAAAUUACUAUUAGUACCUAUAUUUUCUUUUUUUUAGAGAUAACACUUAAAAAUCUGUAAAUAAAGGGAUCAGUAGGUGCACUCGAGCAUCUCGAUUAGUGUUGAAAAUCAAAGAUGAAAGAUGGAAAAUGAAGAUAGUGUUUACGUGCUUCAAAUGUUUAUAUUCUUCUUCUUGAAAAUGCAUGAUGAAGUUGAAGAUGUAACUUCAAAUGGAAGAGGGUGGAGAUUGAGGUUUGUCACUCGAAGAAGAUGAGAUCAAAAAAGAAAAAUGAAAAAGGAAGACAAAGGAAUAUGAGACUAAAACUUCAAAUGGAAUAGGGUGGAGAUUGGAGUUUGCCCGCUCGAAGAUGAGUUCGAAAAAGAAAAUUGAAAACUAGAGACCAAGGAAGAUUUUCAAAAUGAAAGAUGAGAAACGAAAAACAAAAAUGAAAAAUAAAGCAUGAAGAUCGUUGCAACGAGUCUGGAAAAUAAAAAUAAAAGGUUCAACUUUGAUUUGACGAGUAUGUAUUCAAGAUUUAUUAAAAUGUAUUUAUUCUAUUUUAGCUCUAACAAAGUAGCUUACCCCUUGUAUUGCAAGGGUAUUUUGAGUUUCUUCAAAUUCUUAUUUAUUGUUUUAUUGUUAUUUUUCUUAGUUGACUCCUUUUUCUUUGAUUGUGUCUGGACUUUGAAGAUUCAUUAUUAGAGUGGAACAUAACCAAACAUUUUAAUUUCUUUGCUGGAUUGAAAUUUGAAAUAAACACACUUGUGGGAAUAUAAUAUUGCUUUAAUUAAUAUGUGCCUCCCUCCUUUCCAAACAAGAGAGUUUCAUUUUUUUUUCUUUAUUACUUUACUCACACACACAAGCAAACACGUCGGCUAGUUUGACAAGUAUUUUAAUUAAUAUCCAUUAGAAUUUGGUCAUCUAAAAAUUAGUAAAUAUUUACAAAAUAUAUGAAUAUUUCAUAUUCUAUUAAAAUAAUUUUCUUUGCCUCCGUUGAAAAUGCCCAUUAUUAUAAUUACUUUACAUUAUUUUGAUAUAUGCCUUCAACUUAAUAAACAAAUAAAACGAACAAAUGAAACGUGUGUUAUUUAUAGUAUAGGUCUAGGGGCUCGAAGCCUUCCAAAUUUAUGUUUUCUAUAUAGUAUAUAUAUUAAAAAAGGCUAUAACAAUCUUUUUAAUCCCUCUACAUAUAUAAGUUGAAGAACUUAAUUAAUUAUGAAAUGAGGGGUCGGGACUAUAUAAAUAAUGAAUUAAGAAUUUUGGAAAAUAAAUGAAGUAGUAAAAUAAUAUAAUAAAUAAUUUAAAUAAAAACUUAGAUAUAACUAGAAAGAGAUGUGACAUAAACAUUUCUAAUAAGUAAACCAAUAAUAUAACAUCUAUCCGCAUGGGAUAUAUAUGUAGGGAAAAAAAAUUGGUGCAUCUAGGACAUGCAUCCAUCUUUGUGUCUUUCCAUCUCUUCACCCUACAAAUUUAAAAUUAAAAGUUAUUUAGAAAAAAAAAAACAUCCUUCUUUGUAGGGUAGAAAGAUUAAUGGUAUAUAAUCAUGAUUUUCACAAUAGAUGGAAGAGGUAAAAAAAUUCGUAAAGAAAGGGGGAAAGUGAAAAUAUGAUGGAAAAUAAAAUUCAUAUCAUGUUUUUUUUAAAUGAUACAUAGAUAAUUAGGUGCAUCGGGACAUCUCUACUAGAUGAUAUACUCUCCUUAACAUGCACCAUCAUCAUUCUUGCUUCAUUAUCGAUGGUGAUCUUGUAAUGUCAUUAAUCUCUAUUUAAGAAAAUUAAUGUAACUUGUUUACGAAAAUAUAACAAUUUGGUAAAUUAAAUAUACAAAUAUUUAUGUAUUGGAUUUAAAAUACGAAUUUUAAAAAAAUAAUAAUAGUAAAUAAUUUUCAUAAUCCUUCUCCCAAACAAAUAUUAUUAUAACACUAUAUAUUAUAAUUCUUCCAUCAAACACAUACUAUCAAUACUAAACCUUCUCCCAAACACAUUUAUCAUAUCACUGGGAUUAUCAUAAUUCAUAAUUCUUUUUUCUCAUAACUCUUUCCCUCUCCAAAACGUACCCUAAGUUCUUAAAAAACAUUUUGCAAAUUUAAAAGAAAUGAAAUGAAGUUUCCUUCUAAAUCUAUUAUUAUUAUUUUAAAAUCUUGUUGGCUGAUUGAAUAUAAAAAAAAAAUCAAUAUUUUUUUAGAAAAAGAUAAGUUGGAUCAGUUGGAUGUAUCCGAACAUCUCUAUUAGGUGGAUGCUUCUUAGCACUCUCAUCGUUAAUGAAAAGAACGGAAUACAAACAGCUAUAUUUACGUGAAUAUUUAUUCCAAUUUGAAGCUUUGUUCUUUUUUUAGAAAAAUGGUUCUAUAUGCGAAUAUUUGCUCUUUAUUUUUAAUGUAAAAUUUCAUUAUAUAGUUCUACAAGCAAAUAAUUAAAAAGACAAACGGAGGAAAUGCUUCUCCCUUGCCUUUCUAGAGAGUAAAGAAUUUUCAUUUUUUAAUUCAUACGAGUAAAAGUAAAGGAAUUAAUAUAGAUGAUCCUCGAAUUACUUAGCAUUUUUAUUUCUCUAACAUAUAUAGAAUAAAUGAAUAAGACAAGUUCGAAGACAAAUUCGAAGCAGCUCAUCAAUCUUAAAUAUAUAACAUUCAAUAAUUAUAUGAGUUUUUUUUGUCACAAAGUUACGAGAUAAAGCAACAAAAAAAUUUAUAAAUUUUAAAUAUAAUAAUAAUAAAGAACGGUAGAUGAUGAGAAAUUAGCUUAAUUAGAUUGGAUAAGAGAGAGUGAGUUAGGGAUCAGAGUUUAUUUGUUGGUUAGUAUGAGUUUCUAUCUCAAAACAGAUUUGAUAAUAUAAGAGGAAUGACUUUUCAACCAGCGAUUCUCAACAUCUCCAUCAAAGUUAGUGGUAUAUAUAAAGGUGGAACGAUGUUGUAGAAAAAUAUGUGUGUGGAGAUGAAAGAUUUUCGGUUAUUAAUUAAAGAUGGGGCGGAAACUGAAUCGGUUGGAUGUGUUAUUGGACAUAUUAUUUGUCAUUGAGCUAGCCUAGUUGGGCACAGUGGCUGAGCAUAACAAGAAGAGCAGGGCUUGAAGCUAAAUUAGUGGUAGCGUUGAGGCUGGGCCCGAAGGCAAAAACAUAUUCUUUUUAAGCUUAAGCUCAGGCUUAAAGUCGGUGAUCUUUGUUCCAUAUUAUAUAUCAGACUCCAGUUACAAGGUUCAAAAGCUAUGAGUUGCCAGGAUUUAUAUAAUGGCUUCUCCAAAACAUAUGAUUCUAAGUAAGACUUGAUAGCAGCUGAGACCAUUGGAGGCCAAACAAGUUAUCAUCUGUUCUGCCGCCUUCAACAACAAGCCUGUAUUCUUUGGCUUUUCUCACUGACCCACUCUCACCACUCACCACAAAAAAGAACUUCAUUGAUACUACUAUACUAGCUUCUGUGUGUGCUCCGUCACUGCAAACCUUCCCAUCUCUUGCAUGUACAGGUUGAGGACGUUCUUGAUCGGUUCCUAACAGCCUGGCUCACACCGGUUCUAGAGCAAGGCGUCGUUUUGUCCUGGGGCAACUACCUCGAAAUCCAAUUUAAAUUUUACUAUUGAUAUAGUUAUUUGGUUGUUUGUUUGUCAUGAUCUAGAGUAGUUGUUUGGUAUUUAUCUAAUUGUUUUGUAGUAUGGAAUGGUAAUAGAGAUAUAGUGGCAUUUGAUUCAAAUAAUGUUUGAUAUGGGUUGAAUCUAAUAUAAGGCUUGAAUCCAAUUCAAUUAUUUCGGACCAAUAAUAUUAUUCUAAUAAAUGUAAAGAGAGUAGAUUAUAUUUAACACAAUAUGUUUGUGAGAUUCUGAUCCUUUCUCAAAACCAAAAUAAUAAAAAUAAAAAAUAUCAUUGUUCCUUCAAAAUCAAGAGCAUAAGAGAGUACACUUGUGUGAUCCAAUAAAAGGGAUCUAAAUUAAAUCAUUUAUGUACAGCAACAGAAAAAGGAUCAUCAAGUUACAAACUUUACAAUUCAGGUAUAAUAAUAAGCAUGCUUAAAAUUCCUUGAUGGUUCUUCAUACAAGAUUACUGAAGGGUUAUCAAACUCUCACACCAACCUUAAUUAAUUCAGCUUAUGAUCAAGAAAUGCGUAGCCUUGAUUGGUUGUGAAAAGAUAAGCAACAAUAAUGUAAUUUUACAGUACUUACCAAACACAACACUGUAAAUUAAAAACAUUGUAAAAUUUAUUAAUUUAAGACAACAAAUAAAAUAAUGCUAAAAAACAAUAAAAAUAAUGUAAUAAUCAAAGAAAAUUAGAAAAGACACAGAGGUAAAACAUUAUGAUAAAUAAACAGAAUCUUAUAAUAUUUUGGGAAGAUAUUCAACCUUACUCUCACUUUUGCAGUCGAAAACUACAUAACAUCAGUACUGAAUAAGCUUUUUCCAAUGAAGAGUGAUGAGAUUUUGCUUUCAUUCACUAAUGUACAAAUAUUUUAUUCCUCACUCUCAUACGUAUCUGCUUUCUCGUUAAAAUUUCAAACAUACAUCCGAGAAUAGAAUUGACAGAGAAGAAAUAGAAGAUAGAGGACUCACUCUUUUGAAAGAACAGGAAUGAACAUCUCUUAGACAUCUUUUCAAACAAAUUACCUACAACAAAAAGGUUAUACUAAGUUUUGAAAAUUAAAGUACUUUAAAGAUUUAUUGUCAAAUUUUCACUGAAGAGUUAAUAAAAUAGCAUGUGAAAUUAAAUAGCAGCGACUAACCUCGUGAGAGCCAAUGAUCAAAACAGAAGUAUCGGUGGGAUGAAAAACACAAGUAUGAAAUGUGUUUGCAGUUUAACUCAUGAAUGCAUAAUUAAAAGACAUUAAAAUGGAAUUUAACCAAAGGGUCCUAAUUUCCAAAGGACUGUUUAUAUGUGAGUUUUCUUGCACGGAGAACCAAAUGAUAUGAAAACAUCAUUUACAUUUCAAAUUUAAGGAUGGCCUACUACAUCAAGGUGUUGCUCUCCACUAAUGUCCAUAGCAUGAAGACGGAGAACAGAACCUGGAAGUUGAGGAAAUGUUACAUCAAAUUGCACAUGGAAUAUGAAUAUUAGGUAGAUGCACGAUAUCGGUUUUUUGGUCCAUUUUUACAAGUUUAAUUUUAUUAAAUUAUUGCAUCAUUGUCCAUUUUUCUAUGACGCCAAAUAGUAAAAAACAUACCUUAUAUGACCGUGUAGAUAAAUAUUCUUUCUUAUGCCAAAAAAUAAAUAAAAUUAAUAUUCUUUUAGAUACUAUAAUAUUUCUGUUUUACAUAUGUACAUACAAAAUGAAAAAUUAAUAUUCUUUUAGAUACUAUAAUAUUUCUAUUUUACAUUGUGUCUAUAUAUACCUUCUACAAUUUCCUAAAUACAUUCUACAAAAAUUCCUAAACUCCUUCACAGUCUUCAACUUGAACGAAUCUUAUGAACCGAGCAACGAAUUGGGGGAAUGAAGUUGAUCAAUCUGAUCAUGGAUUUGCACGAACGAAGCUGAACGACAACAGAUGAUCUACGCGAUCGACGACAAAGUGCAAAAUGGUGUUGUUUUUUCUAACCGUUACCAGAAACUGAAAGUUGCCAACUUGAAAAUUAGACAGAGCUUUGGUCCUAAACCUUUGAUCAAUGGAAAUUUAUUUUAAAAAAUUGAAUUAUUCACAGGUGUACCAGAGAGACAUAGCCGUAGUAGAUUUAUUUAAUCUAGAUGCAAGAGAAAGAAAAUGAACAUUUUGAAUAUAAGCUGCUGAACUAAAUGUAAAUAUGUUAAAUUAAAUCACUGAAAAUGUCAAGAGAAGGUGUGGAAUGAAGAGACUACCUCAAGUAGCUUAGCAACAUUUCAAAGACCACGGGCAAGGGUGUCCAUUACACCAAUGUGAGUGAUAAACAAAUCUUCAACAUCUAUGCUCUCUCUUCGCCUGUAGUUGAUGCAGUAGCCAAGGUGCAAUCAACAAUGAAUAACAAAAAAUGUCAUACAUAGUUUGAGAAAGAUGGAAUCAUUUCAUAUGAACUAUAAUGAAAUCGUCAGACGAAGUUUUCAAAAAUGAUAAAUGUUACCACAUUAUGAACUAUAAUCGAAGUUAAAAGACACAAGUAAUAAAAAUCAAUCAUUUCUUAUGGAUUUUCUUUUCAUGUUUGUCGACUGUGAUAUACUUGGAUAGACAAAUGAUGUUGAAGGUGUUUCGAAGCUAAUCUAAUGUUCUUUGUUUAUUCAGUUCAGUGGCCUGAAUCGAAGAAAAUAAGUUCGCAAAUUAAAUUCUUAACUUUGCUUGUUAAACCUAUGUUUUGCCACCUAACAAAUACUUUUUCCAUAUUCAUUUCCCACACUCAAGCUUACUUCAAAUAGUGAGGACUAAGAUGGAUCAAACUUGAAAUGGUGAACCAACCAAUAAACAUUCUGAAAUAUAGUAAUUAAUGGGCAACCAAACUUGAAAAGGACUAAUCCGAAAGGUACUCAUUAUUUUAUAUACUAACUCGUAUAAAAAUGAAUAAUAAACUAGUAACUGUCCACUUUUUGGUAGAAGUGUGAAAAGAUGAAAAAUAUGACAGCAGAACUUCAGCUUUUUCAAGAGAUGAAAAACACAACUCCACAAUAAAAAUCUCUCUCAAGUAUCUUCCAAUUCAACGAAACAAACUCUUAAGAACCAAAUUUGCAAUGUCUAAUUAGUUAAAAAACAUAUAUAACUAAGUUCUUGAAUAGAUGAGUUCACAAAAACGUACCUAGUUUCUAAUCAACUCAUGUAGAUUCCAAAACACAUGGGCCAUAUUUCUUAUAGUGAAUAUGCAAUGUCUAAUUGAUUGAUCUAAACAAAGUUUUUUAACAUAAAACUUACCAAAAAUGACUUGAGUCAUAGCUGAAAAGUGAUUGAAGAAGUCCAAAACCACAAAAAGAAGUUCCAAAUGUUUUGAAUGAGAUAAUGAAACUUUUAAACUAAUAGAAGAAACACAAAUAUAGGAGGUUUUGAACAAGCCAAGAAGCACUAACAACUUCUUAAUUACUUCUUUUUGAACAAGGCAAGAAACACAGUAGAUAAUUUAAAGGAAGAAUGUUAAAUUAAAAUCUACAGCAACAAACAAUUUUUCUUAGCCUAACUGUUGAUCAACCCAAUCAACAAACAAUUAAAAUCCAUCGUUUUUAUCAGAUCAGAUUAUCGAUUUUAACUAUAUUAUUUUGAAUAAUCACUAACAUUGAAAAUAACUCCCGUCCCUAAGUAUUAGACUUCUCAUAGCAGACAAAAACAACUGAUAAGAUAAUUAAAGGAUUACCUAAAGUGUACCUAAUAAUUGCUUAUGUCCUAUAUGCAUAUGGUUAAAAAGAAAGAAAAAUUGUUUUAGAUUACAAAACAAAUGAAAAUAUUUACAAAUAUAAUAAAAUUUUAUUUUUCUAUUAAUAAACGGUAAUAAAUAUAGGCAGUAUAUGGUAGGGGAAGUAGUAAAAUUAUAUUAUGUUAGUAAAUAUUUUAUUUAUAAAAAGGUCUAAAAAAGUUAAUAUUAAAUAUUAACUAUUUAAAAAGAAUUUUAUUGAAAAGCAACCAAAAAAAGACUAAAAAAUUUAGGAAGUAGAAGAAUAAUAUCUACAAUAUAAUUAAAAAUGAAAUGGCUUGUCACGUAAUGCUUUUUUAGCGUAGGAAUAAUAUAUAAUACUAUAUAAUAAAACAGAGAUAUUUUCAAAAAUAAAAAAUUAUUAAAAUUAUUUACAAAAUUUAUCAAAAUUUCAUAUAAAAAAUCAUCCAAUAAAAUACAUACUUUUCUUUUUCUUUUUAGAUAAUAGAGAAUUAAAAUUCAAAUAAUGAACCAUCUUCUUCGUGUCUGUUUACGUUGAGGGAAAAUUUAACCUUUUAAGAAACUUUUUAUAAUUUACAUGUAUGUUAAUCUUUUUCUUGUAGAUUAUGUUUAAUUAAAUGACAUUUUUAAGUAGAGCAUUAAAACUUUUACUUUCAAUUUCGCCCUAAUUUUAACUUUUAGUCCAAUAAAAUCUAGUUAAACUCUCUAAUGAUGUAUGUGUAGAUGUCUUUAUAUCUUUAAAUUUAUAUCACUUUGUAUAUCACGUAAGAGAUAAGGAAUAAGGAAUAGAACAUCCAAUUACCACACGAGAAAAAAUUGCAUGAAUUAUAAAAAUUCAUGGUUCAAAGCUUCUAGAGAUAAAAAAAUUUACCCACCUUAAAAAAAAAAUUCUUGAAUAAAAGUUCACUAGAACAUAUAUUUAUUUUAAUUUUAUUUUCUUAUAUAUUUGGGAAUUUUUUUAUGUCAAUGUAUGUGCAUUUUCUUAGAUUAUUUUUACAAUGCUAACUAUAUUAUAUGCGUAACUUCUAAAAUUUCAUGAACACUUUAAAGAAAUUUGUUCUAAGAAUAUGGGAUAAAAUUAUUUGGGCUAAUAGUUAACAUUGUUUCAUAAAAUAAGAAGUUUUAAGUUUUCUAGAACAUUUUUUUCUAUAGGUAAAAUUUAGUUAGAAGAAUAUGAGAUCAUCUCCAACUUAAUGGUCUUUUUUAUUACUCAUGUAGAGUUGAUUGCCAUUUUUUUUCCAGUUCAACAACUUUAAAAUUUAUGAAUAAAAUACACUCACUUUUUUACUAAAAGCUGAUAGAAUAUUAUAUUAAUAUAUUUAAGUUUGAGUUCCUUUAAAGUUAUUGUCUUUAUUCAUUUUUCAAUCUACAUAUUAAUUACUUUAUUUCUGCUUACUUAUUUUUUUUUGUGAAUUAUGUUAAAUAACGUACUUCUCAACUAUGUAUGUAUGAAGUGGACGGAAAUGUUAUGGAAUGUUUACUUAAUGGAGAUGUUUAGUACACAAAUUGAUCUAUUCUAUCUUUUUUUUAAAACAAAAAUAGUCACAUAAGAUUCUAGUUAAAAUCUAGUAGUACUACUGGUUUGUAAACUUUUUCAUACCUUCACUUUCUAUGUCUAAAUUCUAUCUCAAGAAUAAGGGAUGGUGAACAUCUAAUCACAAGAGAGAGAAAUUGCACAAAAGUUCAUCAUUCAAAGCAUUCAAAUUUUGGGCAAAAUACACUUUUCAUCAUGCUCCUAGUUUCAUAUUUGAUCUUCUUCAAAUUAAAUUCUUACGAACAGAAAUUGUAGAAGGAGAAGAGGGAAAUCGUUAAGUUGAAGAAAAUAUAAUUUACAGUUUUGUUUAUAUUAAUUUUAGUAUAUUUUAAACAAUUUUAAUGAGUGUAUUUUCAAUUAUAACAAAUUGAACUAAAAUAUUUACAAAAUAUAGUAAAAUUUUAUAUUUUCUCAAAUACUAAUAGACAUCGAUAAAUAUUGAUAGAACUUCUAUGGUGACUAUCAAUUUGCUAUAUAAUUUGUAAAUCAUCAACCCAAGGAAAAAAGCCAUAGGAAAUUGGUCAUAUGGGUCCCCCAAAGAGGUUCGAUGUUUUAGUAUUACGAGCCAUAUGUAGGUUUAAGUAUUAUCAUCGCGUCAUUAAAAAACUAGAUAUAAUAGAUGGGUGAUAUAAUAUUAAAUUGGCCUUCACUUAUCACCUUAAACUUUUAGAUUAAUUGAUUUAUAUCCCCAAAUUAAUAUUCAUUAUUUUACUUAUUGAACCUUCGUUAUUCGAUCCUACAAAUGAGGAAAAGUGUGUGAGUAAUAAUAUUUGGAACCGACGAUGGAAGAUUUAAGAAGUAGAAGAAAGAUUAAAAAAAAAAAAAAAACAACGUUGAGAAGUUUGAAAUAUACUGUGUAAAUAAAAACAUCUCUUAUUGCAUUGUUAAAGAGAGACCAGUUUUACAUAUUUAUUGAUAGAUAGGUAAGAGAGAUGGAAAUUAUGCAUAAGAAAACACCAUUUUCACUAUCCAUAGCAUGAUUUCAUUGUUUCUAGAUGUUGAUUUCUUCAAGAUACUCGAAAGACACAACGCUGGGAUAGCCAACAAAUGGGAAAAAGAGUCUAACCAGAACGAUCUUAACAACAUAAGCAUCACCAAUCCUGACCUUUAUCUUCAACUUAAGGGUAUAUGUUUUGCCAUUCAGCCCAAUCUCAAUCUUACCAUCUAUUAAACCUUCAAAGGUGGCGUCAAUUUGAAGUACACUCUGACAGUGCUUCAUCACAUGCUGAACAAGUAAAUCACAAAGCGUAUUGUCCGAUAGAUCCAAUGGAACAAUUUGAAGGCCACCAGAAAUCCCGAUUCCAAGAGUCAUCUUUCAAAUUAUAAGCUAAUUUGAUAUGAUAUAUAUAUUGGAUAUCUAUAAUUCUAAUUCUCUCACAAACUUCUAUGAUUUCAACUUAACUCUUCACUCCCCUUUAUAUACACUCCAUCACACUUACCUUUAUCUUUUCC